AAAUGAAAGGCUGAAAAUGAAUACUCUUUAAAAAAUGAUGAUAGGAGUCUUGUAAUCAAGAUCAAGAGUAUAGAUCUUGUUUUAAAUAGUUUAAAGAAUUUUCUAACAAAAAUUCAAUUGAUUUGGAUAUCUUUACGCCGUUAAACGAGAAAACGCUUCUUAUCGAUCAUUAAAAUUACAAAUUUUGAAACCCUUUGAUCAUUAGGCAAAUGAUAUCGAAAAGAUUUGAAAUUUGAUUUCUAAACACUUCAAGUGGUAUAGAUCAUGUUCAACGGAGCCGAUUGUCAAUUUGGAAGCUCUAUCAUCGAAAACAAAUCGGUAGUAAAACGGCUCGUUUAUUACCGAUAGUAUUCUAGCAAAACUCUCUCUCUAUAUAUAUAUAUAUAGAAAGAGAGAGAGAGAGAGAGAGAGAGAGAGAGAAAGAGAGAGUCUGGCUAUGGUGCUUGUAAAUUUUUUACCGUUAGAUCUAUGCCUUUGAUCAUUUUUAUCCAUUAGAUUAUACUAUUCAACCAACCACCCACACAACCCUAGGGGGCCCACAUCAUCCUAACCGCACAUCCCUUAAUCCAAGGGCCAAAACUUUACAAGCACUAAUAACUUGGUACUUUUAAGAGCUCAAUUCAUAUAUAUAUAUAUAUAUAUAUGAGCUAGGCUCGUAUACUAUCGGUAGCACGGAGGCCUCCGUGUUACCAAGUUGUUUUCAAUGAUGCGGCUUUCAAAUCGACGAUCGGCUCCGUUACACUUAAUCUACACUAUUAAAAGUAUUUGAAAACUAAAUUUUAUAAUUUUUCGACAUCAUUUGGCUAGUGAUCAAAAGGUCUCAAAAUUGACAAUUUUAAUGGUCGAUGUGAUGCGUUUGUGAAUUUAACGGUGUAAAACAAUCCAAAUUUGAUGAAAUUUUUAUAAAAAAUUCUUUUCACCAUUUAGAGUAAGAUCAGUACCUCUGGUCUUAAAUUCAAGUCUUUUAUCAUCAUUUUUUAUGAGAUUUUUAUUUUCAGCCGUUCAUUUUUAGACUACUCGUUUGAUUGGUAAUUGAUGUCGAAAAAUUAUGAAAUUUAGUUUCUAAAUACUUUCAAUAGUGUAGAUCAAGUCUAACGGAGCCGAUCGUCGAUUUGAGAGCCACAUCAUUGAAAACAACUUGAUAGCACGGAGGCCUCCGUGCUACCGAUAGUAUACCAACCUAGCUCUCUCUCUCUCUCUUUAUAUAUAUAGGCUGGGGCUACUAUACUCUCAUGAGUAUAGACCCCCUUGUACUCAUAAAUUUUUAACCGUUGAUUGAUGGGAUGUAUGGUUAGGAUGAUGGCGGUCCCCACUUAGAAUAAUAGGGGUCCCCUAGGGUUGAGUGGGUAGUUGGUUGAAUAGUAUGAUCUAACGGGUGGAAAUGAUCAAUAGAAUAAAUCUAGGAACCGAAAAUUUAUAAGUAUAAAGGAGCCAAUACUCAUAAAAGUAUAGUAGCCGGACUACACACACACACACACACACACACACACACACACACACACAAACAUUUGCACUAGUUAUAUAUUAUAAACAAAAGCAUUAAUAAUGUUUAUGACAUAUAAGCUUUUCUUUGUUGGCAAAUGUUUAUAUGUUAUAAACAUUAAUAAACAAAUGCCCGGAAGUGAAAAAUCUCACAUAUUUGUAUAAAAGUAUUUACUCUAGUUUAUAUAUUAUAAAUAUUAAUAAUACACAUGCGAUGCAUGUGAAAAAACUUCUGAAUUGACAAAUCGAAUUCAAGAAAAUCUUUAAGAUGUGGAAAACUCAUUUAAAUUGACACAUCGUAUUGGAUGAUCACUUCUCGCUUCCACCUCCGAAUAACUAGUUUUGUCUGGAAACCCUAUUGUCGGCAAGCUUUUAUUCCCACUCCUCGCUCCCAUCCCUCUCUCCUUAUUAGCCCCACUUUCUUAAGCCCAACACUUAUUUUCCGACAGCUGCUCAUGGUGGGGGAGAAACGAAAGCAUCCAUCGUCAUCGGAAAAGACUGGCGAAUCGUCCGUGUAGAACUCUAAGAGAGCUCGAUCGACAUCGUCGGGAGGUUAUGCACAUGGUAUACAUUUUCAUGAUGACGUGAUAUUCCUGAUAUUCUCCAAUUUACUAUUUAAAAUAUCUACAUGUGUCGGUGUGUCUCGUGCUGAUUCCAAUGCUUCCUGCUAGCCACGUUUCUUCCAACUCUACUGGGCCCGUAGAAACACAGCGCCUUCGCUCGGUAUAUUUCAAACUUCACUUAACUCACCUAGCUCAACUAACUUCGGUUUACCAAAACCAGUAUUCACCCUGCUUGACCCGCAGAAUAUUAUACAUACGCUCUGUCACGACUUCCGCCUCGACCUCAUUUCGACGGGAAGGCUUUUUGUCUACAACGGCCACCUCCGCCGACUCCUCUCAACCACCGUCAAUCUACUGCUACUGCUUCGAGGACACUUGAAUUACUGGUCUACGACCCUCUCUGGUCGAGCUUUUGCAUUCGGCUACCCACCUCGCUCACUACCCAAGCAAGCACAUCAAGGCCUACAGCAUCCUUCUAGAGGUAGAUCCCAUCGGAGACAUUCUGCGUCUUCAUUGAUAUCCAUUCGGAGCUGAUGUUGCUGCAGCUGAGGAUUUUCUGCUCAGGUGAAUAUGGUUGGAGUCCCAACAUGAGUUUCCACAUACACAGUCCCGACCACUACAACAUCAAUCGGUUGCCGGUUCUUUAUGGGGCCUUUAUGUAUCUCCUGAUCCUCCGUGGCGAUGCACUCCGUGUGGACCUGCGGAGUUCACGUCUGUCCUUAUUUCCGCCUUCGAACGUGCAUGCACUGGAAGAUGAGUACGUUUGGGACGCAAAAGACAACGACAUGGGGCUGAUGCACCUUGACGAUGAGGCUCCGAUCUAGUCGGAGCACGCAGGCAUGGAUUUCCGGCCCCUCGUCCAUUCUUAUGUCGUAUAUUUUUUCGAUAUAGCACUACUAGAAAAUUAGUCAUUAGCGACAUUUAUAUAUGCGGCUAAAAGAUCGACAAAUGUUACUAAAACUUUUAGCAGCAUAUAACACCAAAUACUGCCUAUGCCAAUGUUGCUAAAAGUAUUAGUAGCAUAUAUAAUGAAUGCCGCUAACGUGAAUUAAUUAAUGUUAUUAGAAAUAUGCCGCUAAAAGAGCUGUUAAGUAUUAAUCUUAAAUUGUUAACACUGCAUAUGAAUAUAAUGCCGCUAAUAGAAAUAUAUGAUUUUAGGGAUUCAAAUUUUAAAAUUUUAAUUUUAUUUUAAAUUUAAAUUCAAAUUUAAAUUUAUAUUUGAAUUUUUUUUAGAGAAAUGUAGCAUGCUAUCUGUUUCGUUUAUUUCUUUUAGAAAUAAACUUAGCUGUAAAUGAGAGUCAGCGACAUCGGGCUGGCGCACACCGUGGAGCACCUUUGUUACACGUAGGGGUGUAAACGAGCCGAACACGAGCGAGCUCGAUCGGCUCGUGUUCAGCCUCGUUAAUAGACGAGUCGAACACGCGCUGGCUCGUUAAAGUAUCGAGCGAAAAUUCAGCUCAUGUUCGACUCGUUAUUAACGAGCCAAACAUGAGCUGGCUCAGAGCUGGCCCAACGAACAAUAAAUUAAAAAAAAUAGAUUAAAUAUAUAUAAAAAAAUAAAUUUAUAAAUCUUAUCCAUUAAACUUUGAUUCUAAUAGUUGAAACUUUACAUAUAAAUGAAUUUUUUUUAUAAUUAAACUCGCAUUUAUAUUUUAUUUUACUAAAAAUUAAAUAAUAAAAAUAUAUAGUAUAUAUAAUUAUUUAUUUAUAUAUAAAAAUAUAAAUUAAAUAAAUUAUAUAAAUAUAAAAUAUAUGUAUUCGAGCUGUUAUCGAGCGAACACGAGCGAGUUGACCCAAGCUCGUGUUCGGCUCGUUUAUUAAACGAGCUGAAAAAUCCAGCUCGUGUUCGGCUCGUUUAUAACGAGCGAGCCGAUCUCGAGCCUCAUUUCGAGCCGAACCCGAGCCUGCGCUCGCGAACAGCGAGCUGGAUUGCCACCCCUAGUUACACGGCGGUCUACAACCUGAGGCUCUUCCUCUGGACAGCCACCCACCUCGACGACGAGUCUCCAAUCUUGUCAGAGCCCGCAGGUAUGGAUCUCCAGCCCCUCGUCCAUCCUGAUGUCGUACAUUUCUUCGCUACAGAUGUUGCUACUGUAUUUCCCAAUCGGAGCUGUAUUUUGGUAUUUGCCGAGAUCGCCUGCAUGUUUAUCUUGAAGUUGGGCAUGAAGGUAUACUUUUUUAUCUUCCCACUUUUCCAUAUACAUACAAAAACAUUUGUAAUGGUUAUAUGUUAUAAAAUUAAUAAAAUUUAUUAUAUUAUAAAUAUUAUUAAUAUUUAUAACAAAUAAAUAUUAUUCGAUACAGAUGCUGCUCCUAUAUUUCACAAUUGGUGCUAGAUUUUGACAUUUGCCGAAACUGGACGCAUGCUCAUCCUGAAGUUAGGCAUGGAGGUAUACUUUUAUUCUCUUGGCACUUCCCUAUUAUAGCGUUCUCCCGCACAGCCCAUAGUGGCCUAGUACCCUGGAGUGGCUUAUGAAACGAGCAUCAUAUUCUUCAUCAGAUAGGAUGUUACUUUGUUACAUUAUUUCUACUCGAAAAUUUAGGUGCACUUACGUGUUUUUAGCUGUUGAUAUUACUGUUACAUCCAUAAUUAAUUGUCAUUCGACUUAAAUUGUUUGUUUGUUCCCCAAUAUAACUUUUAGUUAUUUUUCAUAUCUUUAUGUCCGUAUUUUAUAUUUUGAUCCUGCAACUUUUUGAAUUCUGGCCUUUUUGAAAAUCAAGGCCUACAGAAUCUUUCUAGAGGUAGACCUAUCGGAGACAUUCUGUGUCUUCGUUGAUAUCCAUUCAAGCGCAUCAAGGCCUACAGCAUCCUUCUAGAAGUAGACCUAUCGGAGACAUUCCGCAUCUUCGUUUAUAUCCAUUAGGGGCCGAUGCUGCUGCAGCUGAGGAUUUUCUACUUCGGUGAAGAUGGUUGGAGCCCAACAUAAGCUUCCACAUACACAAUCCUUACCACUACAACAUCAAUCGGCCACCGGUUCUCUAUGGGCAUUUUCGUAUCUCCCGAUCCUCUAUGGCGAUGCGCUCCGUGUGGACCUGCGGAGUUCUCCUCUGUUCACAUUUUCGCCUCCGAACAUGAAUGCGCUGGGACAUGAGUACGUUUGGGACGUGAAAAACAACGACAUGAGGCUGGCACACACCGGGGAGCACCUUUGUUACACGGCGUCUACAACCUGAGGCUCUUCCUCUGGACAGCCACCCACCUCGACGACGAGGCUCCGAUCUGGUCAGAGCCCGCAGGUGUGGAUCUUCGGCCCCUCGUCCAUCAUGAUGUCGUACAUUUCUUCGAUACAGAUUUUGCUAUUGUAUUUCCCAAUCGGAGCUGUAUUUUGGCAUUUGUUGAGACCGCCUGCGUGCUCAUCUUGAAGUUGGGCAUGAAGAUAUGCUUUUAUACAUACAAAAACAUUUGCAAUGGUUAUAUGUUAUAAACAUUAAUAAUAUUUAUUAUAUUAUAAACAUUAUUAAUAUUUAUAACAAAUAAAUAUUAUUCGAUACAGAUGCUCUUCCUAUAUUUCACAAUUGAUGCUGUAUUUUGAAAUUUGCCGAAACUGGACGCAUGCUCAUCCUGAAGUUAGGCAUGUAGGUAUACUUUUAUCAUCUUGGCACUUCCCUAUUAUAGCGUUCUCCCGCACAGCCUAUAGUGGCCCAGUACCCCGAAGUGGCUUAUGAAACGAGCAUCCUGUUCUUCAUCAGAUAGAAUGUUAUUUUGUUACAUUAUUUCUACUCGAAAAUUUAGGUGCACUUACGUAUUUUUAGCUGUUGAUAUUACUGUUACAUCCAUAGUUGAUUGUCAUUUGACUCAAAUUGUUUGUUUGUUCCCCAAUAUAACUUUUAGUUAUUUUUCAUAUCUUUAUGUCCUUAUUUUAUAUUUUGAUCCUGCAACUUUUUGAAUUCUGGCCUUUUCAAUACCAAGGCUUACAGAAUCUUUCUAGAGGUAGACCCAUCGGAGACAUUCCGUGUCUUUGUUGAUAUCCAUUCAAGCGCAUCAAGGCCUACAGCAUCCUUCUAGAAGUAGACCUAUUUGAGACAUUCUGCGUCUUCGUUGAUAUCCAUUCGGGGCUGAUGCUGCUGCAGCUGAGGAUUUUCUACUCCGGUGAAUAUGGUUGGAGCCCAACAUAAGCUUCCACAUACACAGUACUUACUACUACAACAUCAAUCGGCCAUCGGUUCUCUAUGGGGCCUUUUUGUAUCUCCUGAUCCUUUGUGGUGAUGCGCUCCGUGUGGACCUGUGGAGUUCACGUCUGUUCACAUUUCCGCCUCUGAACGUGCAUGCGCUGGGAGAUGAGUACGUUUGGGACGUGAAAAACAACGACAUGAGGCUUGGGCAUACCGGGGAGCACCUUUGUUACACGGUUGUCUACAACCUGAGGCUCUUCCUCUGGACAGCCACCCACCUCGACGACGAGGCUCCGAUCUGAUCAGAGCCCGCAGGUGUGGAUCUCCGGCCCCUCAUCCAUCCUGAUGUACUCGUCAAUCUUGUUGUCGUACAUUUUUCGAUAAAGAUGUUGCUACUGUAUUUUCCAAUCGGAGCUGUAUUUUGGUAUUUACCGAGACCGCCUGCGUGCUCAUCUUGAAGUUGGGCUUGAAGGUAUACUUUUUUAUUUUCCCACUUUUUCAUAUACAUACAAAAAUAUUUGCAAUAGUUAUAUGUUAUAAACAUUAAUAAUAUUUAUUAUGUUAUAAACAUUAAUAUUUAUAAAAAAUUAGUAUUUAUUCGAUACAGAUGUUGCUCCUAUAUUUCCCAAUCAGUGCUGUAUUUUGGCAUUUGCCGAAACUGCACGCAUGCUCAUCCUCAAGUUAGGCAUGGAGGUAUACUUUUAUCACCUUGACACUUUUCUAUUAUAACAUUCUCCCGCACAGCCCAUAGUGACCCAGUAUCCCGGAGUGGCUUACGACACGAGCAUCCUGUUCUACAUCAGAUAGGAUGUUACUUUGUUACAUUAUUUCUACUCGAAAAUUUAGGUGCACUUACGUGUUUUUAACUGUUGAUAUUACUGUUACAUCCAUUAUUGAUUGUCAUUUGACUCAAAUUGUUUGUUUGUUCCCCAAUAUAACUUUUAGUUAUUUUUCAUAUCUUUAUAUCCUUAUUUUAUAUUUCGAUCCUGCAACUUUUUGAAUUCUGGCCUUUUCAAUAUUAAGGCCUACAGAAUCCUUUUAGAGGUAGACCCAUCGGGGACAUUCCGUGUCUUCGUUGAUAUCCAUUCGAGCGCAUCAAGGCCUACAGCAUCCUUCUAGAGGUAGACCUAUCGGAGACAUUCCGUGUCUUCGUUGAUAUCCAUUCGGGGCUGAUGCUGCUGUAGCUCAGGAUUUUCUACUCCGGUGAAGAUGGUUGGAGCCCAACAUAAGCUUCCACAUACACAGUACUUACUACUACAACAUCAAUCGGUCACCGAUUCUCUAUGGGGCCUUUUUGUAUCUCCUGAUCCUCUGUGGCGAUGCGCUCCGUGUGGACCUACGAAGUUCGCGUCUGUUCACAUUUUCGCCUCCGAACGUGCAUGCGUUGGGAGAUGAGUACGUUUGGGACGUGAAAAACAACGAUAUGAGGCCGGCGCACAUCGGGGAGCACCUUUGUUACACGGCUGUCUACAACCUGAGGCUCUUCCUCUGGACAGCCACCCACCUCGACGACGAGACUCCGAUCUGGUCAGAGCCCGCAGCUGUGGAUCUCCGGCCCCUCGUCCAUCAUGAUGUCGUACAUUUCUUCGAUACAGAUAUUGCUACUGUAUUUCCCAAUCGGAGCUUUAUUUUGGCAUUUGCCGAGACCGCCUGCGUGCUCAUCUUGAAGUUGAGCAUGAAGAUAUUCUUUUUUUAUCUUCCCACUUUUCCAUAUACAUACAAAAAUAUUUGCAAUGCUUAUAUGUUAUAAACAUUAAUAAUAUUUAUUAUGUUAUAAACAUUAUUAAUAUUUAUAAUAAAUAAGUUUUUAUUCAAUAAAUAUUUAUUAAUAUUUAUAAAUAAGCUUUUAUUCGAUAUAAAUUGCAUUGUUACCCCCUGAACUUCUGGCGUAGGUUCACUUUACCUCUCGAACUUCUAAAAUGGACAUCUAACCUCCUAAACUCUAAUAUUUCGUUCAUGUUACCCUUCUGUCAGUUUUCCGUUAAGCUCCGUUAACUGAAAACUGACGGAAGGGGUAAAACGAAUGAAAUAUUAGAGUUUAGGGUGUUAGAUGUCUAUUCUAAGAGUCUGGGGGGUUAAGUGAAACUAGCCAAAAGUUCAGGGGUAACAAUACAAUUUACCCUAAUUUUUACUAUAAAUUAUUUUUAUAUUUUAAAUUAAAAAUUUCUAAUUGGCUGAAAUGAAGUACAAAAAUUUUAUUUAAGUGUAUUUUAUAGAACAAUGCUUCUAAAGAUAAAAUGGACAAACGAGUACUACAGAAAAUUAACUGAGAAUUAAAAUCUCUAUAUCCGAGUAAGGACACCAAUUGUAAAUCAACCAUAUUAGCGAGUACACCAGGAUAGUAGAGUGUUCGAGCAUCGUAGGUAGUUAGUAUCGCUCUUUUUUUAUCUUUAAAUCACUCUAAUUCAUUUCUUUCACUUUUAUUUUAUUACAAUAAAAUGUAGGAUAAAUCAUGGUAUGAUUUAUUUUAGGUUUAAAAAUAUAUAUAAAUUCAAAAUCAAGCAUGAUCACUAACUUGAGGAUUAGUAGUCAAUCCAUAAGUAACAUAUUAUAAUAAAAUAAUUUAUAGUCAAGAGUCCCUUACGGAGUAAAUUGCACUACUACCUUCUGAACUUUUGACGAGUUUCACUUAACCCCCCAAACUCUUAAAAUAGACAUCUAAAAUCCUAAAGUCUAAUAUUUCAUUCGUUUUACCCCUUCCGUCAGUUUCCGGUUAACGGAGUUUGAUAGAAAACUGACAGAAGGGGUAAUAUGAACGAAAUAUUAGAGUUUAGGGGGUUAGAUGUCCAUUUUAGAAGUUCAAGGGGUAAAGUGAAACUUCGCCAAAAGUUCAAGGGGUAAUAGUGCAAUUUACCCUAAAAUUUAAUAUCUGAUGCAUAUCUGAAUCGGAAAAAAAAAUUAUGGGAAUAUGGUUUCGUCGAAUACCUUUUCACGUUUUUUCUGAUCUGUUUCCAUAAAAACUGGAAAAUUUUGAAAUCAGCCUUCAUUUUUUUCAAUUUUUUUUUAUUAUUAUCAUGGUUAAUCCGCAAUCAAGUCCAACUAAAUCAUUUUUUCUCUUCCUCCAAUUACGAUUCACCGUUUUAUUUUGGAAAAAAAAAAAAUAUCUCGAGAUACCUAAAUUUUAGCUUUUUUAUUAACAAAUUAUUUUGGUAAUUUUUUUAAAAAAAUUAUCAAUAUAUCGGAUAGCUAGAUCGUGAUUAUUGAAUCGCCAAAGGACCUAAUUAUCAAUAUGUUGAUAAUUGGACUGAUUUGUAAUUGUUUCAAAUUAGUGGUAUUAAAGUGUAAAUGUUACAAGAGAGGACUUACUAAUAGUUAGUAAAUUAUAAGAGGAUUUAUGUGCAAAUGUUGUAUUAUUAAUUUGAUAUGUUCAAAUUAAUAUAAAGUUUAAGUCGAAUCAAAUUAGGAUUUGAUCGAUCUAACCAAUUAAGGAAAUGAUAAAUUUAAAUCUAGAUUUAUACAUAUCCUUAAUUAUCAUUAUAUUAUUAGGAAUAGGAUUAUAUUCCUAUAUAUAAUAUAGGGGAGUUUUUAGAAAACCCUAGCCGUCAUCUUUCCUCUCCACUCUCUUCCAUAUUCUAGCAAGAAAGACGUCCUUUUGCAAGGGAGCUAGCACCUCGGUGAGGACAUCGAUCAAAUCAACAACCUUGUAUGGAUACCUAUAGAGGCCGGACGCGUGUGUGGCUUCAAGAGAACUGAAUUCCACGAUCAUCAAAUUGAGGUGAAGAUCUGUCCGCGAAAAAGGUAAAGAUUUGAUUUUUCUAUUCUCCUUUAAUCUUAAAGAACAUGAGCGAUCCUAAUUGCGUGAUUUUUGCGAUUGGAUCUCAAGAGUUUUCAAAAUUAAAUUUGUUUGAUUUCUUUUUCCGCUGUGUUUUUACUGUACGCAAUUUUCUAACACUAGUUCCGUUGCGUCUCGCACAUCGGCGGCAUUCCGCGUCUUCGCUGUUAUCCGGUCGGGAUCGAUACUCCUACAGCUGAUGAUCUUCUGCUCCGAUGGAGAUAGCUGGAGCCCAGUAGGAGCUUCUAGAUGCGCAGCCCCAACCAUUACAACAUCAAUCGGCCGCCGAUUCUCUACAGAGGCCUCCUGCAUAUCCUGAUCCUUCAUUGCGACGUACUCUGUGUAGAUAAGUUCUUUCAUUUUAAGACACCAAUUUAUUAAUUUAAAAAAAAUAUUCAUAUUCUCAAUCAAGCACCAUGAGUUAAUAGUCAUAAUUUUAAAAGUCUUAAAAUGAUAUUUGAAUAUCACUUUUAUAAAUGAAUACUUUAAUAUAUAAAAUAUAACUAUAUUAUUAAACUUUAUCAUAAUUCUUACUAAGAAGAGAAAGAAAAUAUGUAUUUAAUGUAGCUCGCUAAUGACUCUUUAUCUUGUAUCUUCUCAUAUGAAACAAAGAAUUUGAGAUGAUUAAAAUCCAAACUCAAUUAUAUAUAUACACACACACACAAAAACAUUUGCACUGGUUAUAUGUUACAAAUAUUAAUAAUAUUUAUUAUAUUAUAAAUAUUAUUAAUGUUUAUAAUAUAUAAGUUUUAUUUAUUGGUAAAUGUUUAUAUGUUAUAAACAUUAAUAAACAAAUGCCAAGAAGUGAAAAAUCUAAUAUAUUUGUAUAGAAGUAUUUACUCUAGUUUAUAUAUUAUAAAUAUUAAUAAUACACAUGCGUCUCACACUAGCUCUGUUUAAAGAUAUCUACUAGUUCCGUUGCGUCUCGCGCUCAUGCCACUACCUAGUGACUAGCCCCGACUUCCUCUCGAAGUACUCGGUCGCCGAAAAAACUCCCGUUUGCUAGGUGUAUUCCAGACCUUACUUAGCUCGCGUGGCUUUGGUCUACUGAAACCAUAUUUCAGCCUGCUUGACUCGGAGAAUGUUAUCUGGGCUUUCCGUCACAACCUCCGCCUCAACCGCAUUCCGUCGGGGAGGAUUUUUGUCUAUAUCCUUGAUCACAGCAAGAGUGAGCACAUCAAGACCUAUAGUAUCAUGCCGAAAGUAGGGACAUCGGCGACAUUCCGCGUCUUCGCUGUUAUCCGGUCGGGAUCGAUACUCCUACAGCUGAUGAUCUUUUGCUCCGAUGGAGAUGGCUGGAGUCUAGCAUGAGCUUCUAGAUACCCAACCAUAUCCUGAUCCUUCAUUGCGACGUACUCUGUGUAGAUAAGUUCUUUCAUUUUAAGACACCAAUUUAUUAAUUUAAAAAAAUAUUCAUAUUAUCAAUCAAGCACCAUGAGUUAAUAGUCAUAAUUUUAAAAGUCUUAAAAUGAUAUUUGAAUAUCACUUUUAUGAAUGAAUACUUUAAUAUAUAAAAUAUAAUUGUAUUAUUAAAAGCUUUAUCAUAAUUCUUAAUAAAAAGAGAAGAAAAAUAUGUAUUUAAUGUAGCUCGCUAAUGACUCAUUAUUUUGCAUCUUCACAUAUGAAACAAAGAAUUUGAGAUGAUUAAAACCCAAACUCAAUUAUAAAUAUACACACACACAAAAACAUUUGCACUUGUUAUAUGUUAUAAAUAUAAAUAAUAUAUAUUAUGUUAUAAGAGUCCGGCUGGGGUACUAUCAAGUUUUCCACCGUUAGAUUUAACCCUUUGAUUAUUUUUACCCGUUAGAUUAUACUAUUCAACCAACCACUCACUAAACCCUAGGGAGCCCACAUCAUCCUAACCACUCAUUUCUCAAUCCAAUGGCUAAAAAAUCAAUAGCACCAAUAGCUUGGUGCUAUUGAUAGUAUUCCAGCCUAGUUCUAUGUUAUAAACAUUAUUAAUAUUUAUAAUAUAUAAGUUUUUAUUUGUUGGUAAAUGUUUAUAUAUUAUAAACAUUAAUAAACAAAUGUCCAAAAGUGAAAAAUCCAAUAUUUUUGUAUAGAAAUAUUUACUCUAGUUUAUAUAUUAUAAAUAUUAAUAAUACACAUGCGUCUCGCACUGUCUCUGUUUAAGGAUAUCUACCAGUUCCGUUGCGUCUCGCGCUCAUGCUACCACCUAGUGACUAGCCCCGACUUUCUCUGGAAGUACUCGGUCGCCGAAAGAACUCACGUUGGCUAGGUGUAGUCCAGACCUUACUUAGCUCGCGUGGCUCCGAUCUACUGAAACCACAUUUCAGCCCGCUUGACUCGGAGAAUGUUAUCUGGGCUCUCCGUCACGACCUCUAUCUCAACCGCAUUCCGCCGGGGAGGAUUUUGGUCUGUGAUGAUGUCACGCCUCAGAUUACACGUUUCCCCGGGCACACCCACAGACCCGCCGUAUACGAAGGAAUUUUUUCUGCAUACGAAGCGAAGGUGUACUGAAACUGUAAUCAAACAACACUACAACCAGUAGUACAGAGCUGCUAGAAAAGAAAAAGAACUGAAGGAAAACCAAGUUUCAUAUAUAUACAUAACAUCUAGGGUACAAACUGUUCGCACUGGCGAGUUAAACAUCUGUAUGUACAUCAACUCAAACCAAAAUACAACUACCUGCAGAAGGUACUCCACUAGCUCUGGCUCGUCUAACCAAAAUACAACUACCUGCGGAAGGUACUCCACUAGCUCUGGCUCAUCUGGAAGGGCUCUAGCUCGCAACGCCCUUGCCACGAUCGGUCUCGGAAAAUGCAGCAGCCGGAACAGAAGGCUCUGCAAAAGAGGGGUAACAACUGGGCAUGAGAACUACUAUAAAAACAAGUAGUCCUCAGUGGGUGCCGCCCUCAACAUCAUCGGUCCACCCACUAGGUCUACAGAAGGGAGCUGGAAUAGUAAGUAAUGCUGGAUCAGAUCUAUAGCUAAAAUCACUAUACUAUCAUACUCUAACACUAACAAUCUGUAGAAAAAUAUCAAUCCUGACCCAAUCUCACUCGGGACUGUAACCAUAUCCGUCCCAGGGACUGUGAACACAUCCGUCCGGCCUGUCGAAGCUAAAGCGAUCUCCACACUAAGCAGUCAGUGGAUAGCAAGUCCAAACAGGACACCUUGAAUCCAACGCAGAAGCACUAAACCCGACUCCGGAGUGGCACUUAUGGGCGCUACCCAACCGAGUAUGCAAGUGUAUCUCUGUCGAGCUCAAUCAGGCUCUUACAGGCUAUAGUCUAGUACACAGGGUCUAACUGAUCUAAAAACCAACGAGUCACGUGCCCUCGGCACAAACUGAUGCCAAAACGGCAAUAUGGGUCCACCGUCAACCCCAACGGGCCCCAGCAGUCCGGAACAGUCUGAACAAUACUGUAAAAGUAGGCUAGACAUCUCAGCACGAGCGUAACAGCAAUCUACACUACCUGGGGUAUCCACCACGCUGAUACUGCGGCGAUACCAAAUAACAACGGCUCCUAAAGCUAAAUCUGGUAGUGUAAGCAUAUGACGAGGUAUAAUCGCAGUUUUCUCCUAAGUCAUAUCCAAGUCCAAUAUGUGCAAAUAGAUAUAAUCAAGAGGCGAGGCUCCAAUUCAGAUUUUGAAGAUAAAAACACCAAAUCCAUGAAUCGAGCAAUUUCUAUAUACUAAACAACCCGAUAAACACAUGUCGACUAUAUAGCUACUUAGACGGCAAACCGACGAUUAACCCACCUCAAAAGCUACUUCAAAUCCGGCGCGACGUGGAAUCAGCGACAAACCCUGCUCGCCCGGCCUCCCAAUGUAGCAACUACGGUGCUCGUGUACUCGAACGGCUCUGCGGCGCAACGUCGGCGUCGAUCCAACUCCACCCGAGCUCCUCCUUGCUCACGGCCAAGGCUAGAGAGAGAGAGGAGAAGAAGAACAGUAAAGUUUCUCUCUCUCAGCUUCUCUACACCUGCUAUAGUAAUGGGGAGAGAGGGUGACACGUACGAGGCAUAGAAAGACCAAAAUGCCCUCUUAUCUAUCCUGGUGUACCGGUACACGUGUGGUUGUACUGGUACAAAUAGCAACCCGGGAGCAGCUGCGCGGAAACAGGUAAAGUGUACCGGUACACAUCCGAUGUUGUACCGGUACAGAAAGUGUACCAGUACACCUCUGAUGUUGUACCGGUACAACAAGCAGGAAAUCUGCAAUUUGCAGAUUCCAAUGCUGACUCCUGCUCUCGCGUUCCCACUGAGUCCGUUUUGCGUCUAUUUCGCGCCAAACGCGACUCGAACUUGUCCCGACACUCUCACAACGUGUCAACAAGCCUCAACUUCUUGACUUUCAAAUCUUUUUGACGUCAUUGACCUAAUGAUCAAAAAGUUCCAAAUUUUGUAAUUUUAAUAGUCAAUAUGAGGCGUUUUUAUGUUUAACGGUGUAAAAAUAUCUAAAUCAGUUAAAUUUUUGUUAGAAAUUUUUUUUAACUAUUUAGAACAAGAUCUAUACUCUCGAUCUUGAUUGCAAGAUUCCUAUCAUCAUUUUUUAAAGGAUAUUCAUUCUUAGUCAUUCAUUUUUGUGUCAACUUGAUGAACAAGAGAGCAAUAUCAGAAAAGUAUGAAAUUUGGUUUCUAGAUACUUCAAGUGGUAUAGAUCAUGUUCAAUGGCGCCGGUUGUCGAUUUGGAAGCUCCAUCAUUGAAAACAAAUGGAUGGCAACGGAUCCCAUUUGUUACUGAUAGUAUUACGGCUCAACUCUCUUUCUCUCUAUAUAUAUAUAUAGAGAGAGAGAAAGAGGCUAGUAUGCUUCUGAAAGUACGAAACCCUCUGUGUUUUCAAGUCAUUUUUGAUGUUGGGACUUUCGAAUUGACGAUUAGCUUCAUCAGAUUUGAUCUAAGUAUUUGAAGUAACUACAAAAUAAAUUUUGUGAUUCUUCUUUGAACCCUGUUCAUCUUCAUCAUCAGCUAUUUUUCCUCUUCAAUGUCGCCGUUAGGUGGAAGGUUAGCGGAAGGAGAAAAAUUCAUCUUCUUCAGACGUUUCUCUUCCUUUGGCCCUCCGUGCACGAUGCGCCCUCUUCCAUGAUGCCAUUUGCUAUGCAAGAUUUAAGUUGGGAGAAGAUAGAAAGGCAAACAGCGAGCAGGAAGGAGAAGAUGGAUAUAUACUCUUAUAUGAAUCUCCAAUAUCAAAUGAUGACGUGGCAAUCUCUUUUUUUUUUAGAUUUUUUAGAUUUUUUAUUUUAUUCUAUUCUAUUAUUUUUAAUUAUUCUUUCAAUUAUUUUUUUUUGAACCAUUUCUUCUAUCUAUUAAUUUUUUUGGACCGAACCAACAUAUUUUGUUAUAUAUUUUGUAUUGAACCCGAUUCAUCACUGAACCCGAUUUUUUGAACCCUGUUUAUCUUCAUCAUCAGCGAUUUUUCCUCUUCAAUGUCGUCAUUUGGCGAAAGGUUAGCGGAAGGAGAAGAGACUCAUUUUCUUCAAACAUUUCUCUUCCUUGUGCCCUCCGUGCACGAUUUGCCCGCUUCCGUGGUGCCGUUUGCUAUGCAGGAUUUAAGUCAGGAGAAGAUGGAGAGGCGAAAAGUGAGCGAGAGGGAGAAGAUGGAUAUGCUUAUAUAAUAACAUUGACAUUUUCUUUAUUCCAGUAUCUUUUCCAACAAUAUUUUUUCGAUGGUAGAGGGUGGUUACUCUAUUUUUUUCGCUUUACUAUUAUAGAGUUAUAGAUGUACAAUUUUUUUUUUACGUUUUUGUUAUUUUUCCUCAGGAAUCUAUGGGCAAUCUACUACGUUGAUUUAUCCCCUAUUUGGUACUGACUUCCUUCAGAUCUCCGGUAAGUCCUAAUACCUAAGUGCUUAUAUUACUAUUACUAUGUACAGUUUUUUUUUUUUGACGUUUUUGUUAUUUUUUCUCAAAAAUCCAUCGCCGAUCUACUAAUUGAUCUCCUAUUUGGUCUUGCCUUCUUUCCGAUCUCUGGUAAGCUGCAGUGCCUAUGUGCUUAUAUUUGCAUGAAACUAAGUUCAAAAAAAAAAAGUCAUAAAAAUAUGAUUAUGAGACCAUCUGUAUGUGCACUAUUUUUCUUCACGAUCAGUAUGCCUCUAGUUUAGAAUAUUUAUUUAUAAUUAAAGUUUUGGUCUUUUAAGAGAUAUAAUUUUGUAUUUCAUUAUCAAUAUUAAUAAAAUUGUUUGCUCUGUCUUGCUCCACAGGUGUAGAACAACGGCCAAAUCAUGUAAAUCUUAGUGUGUUCUUUUCUUUUUCUUUAUAUCUAUAAGAAAGCAAAUUUACGGCCUAAUGGCAACUAUUGUGGAUAUUUAUAUCAUAAAAAAAAUUGGAUUGGAGAGCAUAAAAUAUAUAUUUUCUGAUUUUGCUAAAAUAAGAUGAAAAUCUAACUAUUUGAACUUUAUUAAUAUUUGUAAUUAAAUAUUACUUCUCUAGCUCUCAUGAUACUACUUCUGAUUCUUCUGCUACAACUUUUUUCUAUAUUGCUUUUAUUUUUUUUCCUAAUAAUUAUGUUGUAUUUUCUCUUCAUAUAUAUUUUAAACUUAUUUUUAAAAUAUGAUAUUUUCAAUGAAUCUACUACCUCAAUAAUAUUUAUGUCUUAAAAAAAUUCAAGUUGGGAUGGAAGAAGACAAUUAUCUUAUGUUCUUGCAAGAAGAAUCAUGAAAAUAUAAUUGUUAGGUCAACUAAUUCUUCUAAUUUAGUCCUUUUUUUAAUUGAUAAUAUAUAAAUUCUAAACAUUAUGCAAUUUUAUAGUAUGAAAUUUAGAAUUUGGUAAAAUUCUAAAGCAAAUUUCUAACCACAAUUAUUGAAGAAUAAUACUGUUUUGGAACAAUAUAAUUUUCAUUCAAAAUUUUAUAAUUUAGAAAAAAUAGUAUUUAGGAUUCUAAUUAUAAUUUAUUUUUAAAAUUUUAAAUUUGGAUUCUAUUAUUUAUCCGCCGCAUCGCACGGAUCUCUACACUAGUAUAUACUAGAGUCCGAUAAAUUCAUCUCGUGUUUUUGUAUAGGGGUGGCAAUCCAGCUCGCUGUUCGUGAGCCAGCUCGUGUUUGGCUCGAGAUCGAAUCGUUCAUUUAGUAAACCAGCCAAAUAUGAGCUAAAUUUUUUAGCUCGUUUAAUAAACAAGCUGGGGUCAGCUCGCUUGUAUUCGACUCGAUAACGGCUCGAAUAUAUAUUAUAUAUAUUUUAUAUUUAUAUAAUUUAUAUAAUUUAUUUUUGUAUAUAUAAAUAAAUAAUUAUAUAUAUAUAUAUAAUUUUAUUUUUAACAAAAUAAAAAUAUAAAGUCGAGCUCAAUGGUAAAAAGACUCCAACCAUUUGAUCAUUUAAUAUGUAAUAUUUUAUAAAUUUAAUUUUUAUAUAUAUCCAAUCUAAUUCUUUUAAUUUAUUAUUCAUUGGCCGGCUCGUGAGCCCGUUCAUGUUCGGCUCGUUAAUAAACGAGCCAAAAACGAGCUGAAUUUUUCAACUCGAUAUUUUAACGAGUUAGGUUUGAGUCGGAUUUUCAAAAACCCGAAUCCCAACCCAAAAACUAAAUUAAAACUCUAAUCCGGACCCGAAUCAGGUGGGUUUUAAAAAUCCAUAUCCAUACUAAAAAUCCGAAACCUAAACCGGGACCGAACGAGAAAAAAUAUUAAAUAUUUUAUAUAUUAUAUAAAUAUAUAAAAAUAAAUUAUUUAUAUAUAUAAUUUAUUCAGGUCCGGAUUUGAGUUCGGAUUCGGGUUCGAAUCGGGUAAAUAUAAAAUUCAUAUCCGUAUUCAUAUUCGUCUGAUUUUUAUUAUUUAUACCAUAAUUAAAUUUAUACCCAUUUAGCUCGAGUAAAUCUGUCCUCUUCGGAUUCUAAUAGUAUUCUUUCGGAUUCUAAUAAUAUUUAGAAUAUCUAUAUCCAUCGGCAUCCUAGACACCCUUAUUUUUCUGUAUGCGUGUAUCUAUAAGUAUCGCGCACGACUCCGUGUCCUCUGUAGUUUUGAUAACCGAUCGAUUCGGUUACGAGAAAUAAUGGAAGAACCGGCGAGAAAACGGCAAAGACUCUCGGCGGCGGCGGCGGACCGCAUCAGUGCUCUGCCCGAUCACCUCCUCCACGAAAUCCUGGCCUUCCUGCCGGCCCGCCUCGCCGUCGGCACCUCCCUCCUCUCCCGGCGAUGGCGGGCGGUCUGGACGACCGCCCCCGACGUCUCCUUCACCACCCAGCUCUCCCCCUCCUUCGUCGACUCCGUCCUCCGCCAUCGCGACCCCGCCCUCCCCCUCCGCUCCUUCUCCCUCGUCGCCGCUUCCGCCGACGAAGUCGUCUCCGACCCCGACCCCGACCCCGCCCUCCCCUUCCGCUCGUGGAUCCUCCGCGCCGCCAGCCCCGCCCUACAACGCCUCACCCUCCGCCUUCCCGGCCGCUUCGACCUACUACCUCCGGCAGUCUUCCACCUCCCCUCGCUGAAGGUGCUCGAACUCCGCCUCCCGGGACGCCUCGAUUGGCCCGCCGCUGCCUUCUUACCUUCUCUACAGAGGCUCGAACUCUCUGACCUUACUUUAUUAUAUCCGGCCACCGAGGACGCGAUCUCGAACAGCUGCCCGGCGCUCAAGUGCUGGCGGAUGUCGUUCGAAUCCGCAACCCCCGAGCUCGAAGUAAAGUGCCCGCUGCUGGAGGUUUUCGAGCUACGGACGCGCGCCGGGCCGAUAGGGGGCCUCAGUAUCUGCGGGCGCAAGAUCAGGAAGGUGAGCGUGCGACAGAAGUACGUUGCUGAAUCCUUCUCCAGGCCGCCGGCGGCGGCUUAUCUGAAGCUGUCAGCGCCCGGGCUCCAGACUCUGGAGUGGUUCUGCCCGCUGCCGCGCUCCGCGACCGUCGACUCCCUCCCGGAUUCUCUCGCCUCCUCCCUCAUGUUACUGACGCCGGGCGAGCUCCUCGAUCUCGACGAGAACAGACUGCCGAACUACGGCCAUGUUCUUCCCCUGCUCAGAGUCGAUCGGUUGGUCCUGCCGCAUUGUUGGAUAAUUGAGGUAUGUGCACGGAGGUUUUAUUUCCUUUCUCUUCCUGGUAGAAAUUUUUUUUUUUUUUUCUUUUCUUUUAGAGUAAGAUAGUAUGCUACCGCGACAUUCUCAUUCAAUUGGAAGGUUAACUUAACAAAAAGAUAAGACAAAAGGCCUCAGCUUACAAUUGACUCCAGGAGAUCCUAGUAGAAAUUAGCAUUUCAAUUCAAUUCGUGUGUAUAUUAGAAAUUGAAGUUAAAGAAGGAUCCUAUCCUUUUCGCGCAGCCAAAUCAAGCAAAUAAUCCCUAAAUGAGAUAAUCUCUCAUCCGUAGAUCGACCAUAAGUAGUAUUAUCUCUUCUUCUUCUUAGCGCACGCCCUAGAGCUAAUGCAAAUGUUAUCCUGAAAUAAAAUUGCAGAUGAUUGGCUAUCGUGGACAAGUUAAUUAGGAAUUAUUUAAGUCUUUUCCUGAAGAGUAAGACGAUCGAAGAGGUUAUGCGAUCAAUUUAAUUUUUAAGUUCUGCGUUGAAACAGCCAUAUGAAGAACGAAACUUGAUUAGAUUGGGCUGACCAAAUAUGAUCAGUUUCAUCAACGUAUAUUCUGGACUGAGCAAAAUUCGAGUGCCCUAUCAUUAUCAACAGGUGAAAAGUGCAAAAGUCUUUGCGCUUCGGAAAGCACUCAGCGACUAUGCUAUAGAAUUGUUCUAGAAAUAAAAAGGCACUUUUAGUUCCACCUUCCGUCGUAUUUUCAAUGAUGGGUGGGUUUCUUAAUGCACAAUCGACGCUAUUAAGCAUGAUUUAGGUUCAAUAAGUGUUGCUCUUUUGUUCAUAUCAUUUCUCUAGUAUUCAAGGGACAUUUAGUUCACUUUAAAAAGAACAAAGGCGAAAGAAUCGACUCUAAUUUUUCGCUUCUGAUACUGUAAAUAUGGCAACACAUUGUAGAUCUUUAGUUAAUUUGCUUAUUGAAAGAAGAUUACAAGUGAAAGAUGGAACAUAUAAAACAUUAUUUAUGGCAAAAUUUGAGGAAAGUAAGGCUCAACCAUGAUCCUGAACAGGAAGGUUAGAUCCAUCUGGGAGCUUAACAGGUGGCAAAGAACUGUGGUUUUGUGAAUCAAAUAAGAUAGAGUGAUUGAAGGUCAUAUGGUCAGAGGCUCCGCUAUCUAGAACCCAUUCAGAAAUUUUAUCAGAAGAUUGAGUAGUCUAACCUGCAAAAUUGGCUAAUGGUGUUUGUUUUUUCAGAAUUGAGCAGAGAAAGAAGUUGAUCAUAUUGUUCUUUCGUAAGGCCAUUGACAAGUGAAAAGGAUGACUCAUAUUGACUUAUGGUGGCAUUAUUUGCUGAAUUUGAUGAGCUUUGACGUCCCUUUGUCGAUCUUCCCUUAUUUGUCCAUCCUUCAGGAUAACCAAUUAACUCAUAACAUCUGUCUCUUGUAUGGUUAGUUUUCUUACAAUGCUCACAGAAGAACUUAUUUCUAUUGGGCACUCGAUCUUCAUCCGUUCCAAAGGUCAUCGAUUUGGUGUUUCUAGUGUUUAAAGCAGCAGCUUCAAUAGUUGGUGCUCGACUUGCAGCUAGAGAUUGCUGUCUCUCUUCGCGAGUCACAAGUGCAUAAACCUUAGCAAGGCUAGGUAGCGGAUCAGUGCUUAGAAUUUGAGAUCGAACAAUGUUGAAUUUUUCGGACAGUCCCAUUAGGAAUUGAUGAACUUUCUCUUUCUCACGUUCAGCAAUGAACUCCUUGGCUGCACCACAAGUACAGUAAGGAACAUUUGAAUAAGUGUUUAGCUCAUCCCAAAAUCCUUUCACCUUGGUAUAGUAUGUCGCAACUAACAUAGUGCCCUGUUGUGUAAUUGCAAGUUCACGUUUCAGUUCAUGGAUACAAGGGGUGUUUCCAUGUGAAAAUCUUUCCUCCAAUAUUUCAAUUCUGUAGCUAAACAAUUAAAUAUUUCUCUAGCUGAAUCAAUAUAAGCAAUGCUAUCAUGUAAUUCUGAAGCUAAAGAAUUAAAAAUCCACGAAACGACCAUGGAAUUGCACUUAACCCAGGCAUGUUCAUCGGGGGAAUCAUCUCCUGGGUUGGCAAGAGCACCAUCAACGAAACGACAUUUAUUUUUGGCUCGAAGCGCAUUUAUCAUUGCACGUCGCCAAGUUGGAUAAUUUUCUCCCUUGAGAAGACAUGAAACUAGAAUUGUGCCAGGAUUGUCAGAUGGAUGAAGAAAAUAUGAAGAAAGCUAAUCAAUAUCAGCGGACGUUUUUGUGGAAGCUUUGGUAGAAGGUAUUUCAGUCAUGACUAAUAGCUAGAGUUUCCAGGGAAGAAGAUGAGUAGGGUAUUAGCAUAGGAUCAUUGCUCUGAUACCAUGUAAAAAUAUUUGCCAAGCUUGCUUUCUCUUCUCUUAUUACAUAUAUAUAUAAGAUACAACCAAUUACAUAGCCUAAACUUUAGGCUUAAGAAAAGCAAGAAAAAGGAAAGAGAUCCUGUCUAAUAGGUACACAAUACCUUCUCACCUAAUUUACAAAAUUUGAUAUCGGAUAACCACGGAUUGAGAUUAGCAAAUAAUAUUUUCAAUAGAUAGUAUGACAUUACAUUUGAUAAUUGAUUACUUCACAGGAUUAAAUAAUGCUAUAAUGCUUAUAAUAAUGAUGCGUAUACAUUUUCUUUUAUCCUCAUAUGAUAUGCUGAAUUAAAUGAAUGCAGGAGUUCAGUGUAGCAAUUUUCCAUCGACACGAUCAAGAAAAUCCGCGUGCUUGGGUGCAUGAGAAUCUCAAGCAUUUGGAAUUGAUUUGUUUCUUCGAAGGAUUUGGCUCGUUGGGUCUUGCCUUCUUGCUCAAGAAUUUCUCUAAACUCGAGACGUUGCGUGUUUCCUGUGUCAAGGAAUCGUCCAUAAAUUAUGUAAGUCGACCAAACCUCAUCACUACCUUGCCUAAAUUAUGCUGCAUUUCGUAGGAUAUACUUUGAAUUUUCAAAGUUUUGAUUUUAUUAGAUAAUAUUAUAAUAUGUUACAUUUAUAUAUUUAAAUUAAAUGUUAACAGUAUUUUAGAUUUGUUUUAUGAUAAAUCUAGUAGUUUUGUAGAAUAUAUAUCAUGCUGUACUUUGAGUUAACAAAUGUUCUAGAAAUAUUAUGAGAAAUCAAAAAGGAGGAAAUUGGAUAACGAAUUCAGAAUUUAUGAAGUUCAAAGAUUUGUGCAUUUUGACCAUUCUUUUGUAUUUCUCCAGUCUUUUAUAUAUAUUCUUUUAUUUUUUUAUUUUUUUUUGUAGGCCAUUCACUAUACAUUAUUUCACAUACUAUUUAAGAGUAAAGGGGCUUUUGGCCGAGGAGGAUACUGGGAUUCUCAUGACUUGUCCCUCAAGCAGUUGGUUCAAGUAUCAGUGCAUGAUUUUUCAGGGGGAAGAUUCGAAUAUGACUUUUUAGAGUUCUUACCUCGAGCGGCAACUUCGUUAAGAAUGAUUACGAUCUCUGCUAAUGGCGAGGAAAUAGUUUUAGAGAAGGUUGAGCAAUUGCGACAAUCUUUUCCACACAUUGAGAUUUUGCUUCAAUUGCAUGGAAGAUAAUUUUGUUACUCUAGAAUCAUUAGCAUGUUAACAAACAAUGCUGACGAUUAGCUAGACAUUUAUUAAUUUGAUUUUAUUUUUAGUUACCUUGAGCUAAUUUAUUGUUGACCAAGGUGUUUUGUGAAAGUUAGUUUGAUUGGAUUAACGAAUCUGUAGAUCCAACGCAACUCAAGUGCAUUGAUGUUUAAGUUUUUUUUAAAUGUAAUUAUUUUUUUGUUGUUUGUUUUGACAUAACUCGUACAGUCUUGAAGUUAAAUUCAAUUAUUUUUUUAUUUGUUUUGAUGUAAUUUGGUGCUGGUGAAAUUAGUUUUUUGAGUUUCAUUGUUUGUUUUGAUAUGAAUAAGUGUUUAGAUUGAGUUUUAUUAUUUUGAUGUAAGUAAGUGGGUGCCAUUAUCUCCUAAAUAUAGUGGUGAACUUACUGCUAUAAAAUUUAACCUAUUAUAUAAUUAAAAUUUUUAUUAUUAUUUAAAGGUAAUUCUAAUUUAUUAUAAAUAAGGUAAUUCUAACCCAUUAUAAAGGAGUAGCGUUUAGGUUUUAAUAUUUAAUAAAUUUUUUAGAGGAGAAAGUCGAGAGUAGCUGAAGUGGAGAUCUAUUAACGUAACUUGAGUUACAUUAUAUUUUUUACUUAGACUAACACAAGUGAUGGAACUUGAGUUCCAUCCCUCCACUUACACUAAAACAAACCGAUCCUAAGUUGCUGGGCUCGACACGGCAUGUCGUGCCCAAAUUUAAAAGCGGGUCGUGUCGGACUGGUCCCUUGCACAUUUCUAAUUUAUAAUCUCAAAAUUAAAGUUUAUAAUUUUAAAUUUUAAUUUUAAAUUUAAUAUUUAAAUUUUUUAGAUUUAAAAUUUGAUAUUAUAUAUUUUCAAUUUUAAAUUUGAUAUUAAAUUUAAUGUUUGGAAUUUAAAAUUUAUAAUUAUAAAAUUUAAAUUUUAAGAUUUUAAAUUUUAAAUUUUAAUUUUUAAUAUUGAGUUUUAAAAGUUAAAAUUUAAAAAUAUAAAUUUAAAAUUAAAAAAUUAAAUUCAAAUCUAAUGAGAGUGGUAAUAUUAUUAUUUUUUAUUUAUAACUGCCCAUUAUUUUUUUUUAUUUCAUCUUAUCUAUUCAAAUAUUAUUUUUCUUAUUUUCAGAAACAACUCAAUUAUUAUUCAAACUUAAACAAUACAUUAAUAAUCUAUUCUCUACAUAUAAAAUCUGUUUGGGGUCAUGUGCGUGUAUACAUACCAAUGCACAUAACAAAUAUUUUAAUAAUUAUUUUAAAUUAAUAUAAAUUUAUAUAUCAUAUUUAUAUGCAAAAUUUAAAUUUUAGAAAGUAAACUCAUUUGUUGUAUACUAUUAAAAAAUAUUUGUCACAUUCUUACUCAAAUUUAAAUAGUUCUUGUCCACAAUAAUUAUAUAGUUAUAUUUUUUUAUUUUAUAAAUAUAUAAUGUAGAUAUAGAUAUACAUUAAAUAUUUUUGUAUAUUUUUGAAUUCAGAUGAAUCCAGAAUUUAAAUACAUAUUUUAAACUAAAAAUAUCAAAAUCUUAAUUCAUGCUUAAUUCAAAAGUUAAAAUUUAAUUUUUUUCAACUUUAAUAAAAAAAAUUUUAAUUAUUAAUUCAAACUUAAUAUCCAAAAAUAAAUUUAAUUGACGAAUAAAAUUUAAAUUUUAAUCUUAAUUUAAAAAUAUAGAAAUUUAAAUUAUAUAAUUAAAUUUCAACUCUAAAUUUUAGAUAAAUAAAAAUUUAAAAUAAAUAAUAUUAAAAUUUAAAUAUAUAUUUGAAAUCAAAUUUAAAUUUGAUUAAUUGAUUGCAAUCAAACAAUAAAAUAUUAGCGGAUAGAAUAGAGAUAAUAUAAUUUUAUUAUUAUAUUAUUUAUUUUAUAUAUAUAAAAAAUUUUAAAAUAAAUCUGCUGAUGGAUGGAAAUUUGAAAUACAUAUGCUAUAGAUAUGAAAUCUACUCGGAGUCGGAUUAAUUCAAUUGUGUGUGUGUGUGUGUAUACAUUUGUGUACAUGUCGCGGACGGCACCGUGUAUUUUCCUAUUUUGAUAAUUCAUCGAUUCGAUUACUGUGGUGGAAAUAAUGGAAGAAGGCGUACCGAGGAAGAGGCGAAGACUUGCGGAGGCCGACCGUAUCAGCGCUCUCCCGGAUCACCUCCUCCACGAAAUCCUCGCCUGUCUUCCCACCCGCAUUGCCGUCAGCGCCUCUCUCCUCUCCCGGCGAUGGCGGGCGGUCUGGACGACGUCCCCCGACGUCUCCUUCACCACCGGCCUCUCCCCCUCCUUCGUCGACUCCGCCCUCCGCCAUCGCGACCCCGCCGUCCCCCUCCGCUCCUUCUCCCUCGUCGCCGCUUCCGCCGACGAAGUCGUCUCCGACCCCGACCCCGCCCUCCCCUUCCGCUCGUGGAUCCUCCGCGCCGCCAGCCCCGCCCUACAACGCCUCACCCUCCGCCUUCCCGGCCGCUUCGACCUACUACCUCCGGCAGUCUUCCACCUCCCCUCGCUGAAGGCGCUCGAACUCCGCCUCUCGGGACGCCUCGAUUGGCCCGCCGCUGCCUUCUUACCUUCUCUACAGAGGCUCGAACUCUCUGACCUUACUUUAUUAUAUCCGGCCACCGAGGACGCGAUCUCGAACAGCUGCCCGGCGCUCGAGUGCUGGCGGAUGUCAUUCGAAUCCGCAACCCCCGAGCUCGAAGUGAAUUGCCCGCUGCUGGAGGUUUUCGAGCUGCGGACGCGCGCCGGGCCGGUGGGGGGCCUCAGUAUCUGCGGGAGCAAGAUCAGGAAGGUGAGCGUGCGGCAGAAGUACGCUGAUGCUGAAUCCUCCUACGGGCCGGCGGCGGCGGCUUAUCUGAAGCUGUCGGCGCCCGGGCUCCGGACUCUGGAGUGGCUCUGCCCGCUGCCGCGCUCCGCGACCGUCGACUCCCUCCCGGAUUCUCUCGCCUCCUCCCUCAUGUUGCUGACGUCGGGCGAGCUCCUCGAUCUCUACGAGAACAGACUGCCGGACGGCGGACAUGUUCUUCCCCUGCUCAGAGUCGAUCGGUUGGUCCUGCCGUAUUCUCGGAUAAUUGAGGUACGGUACAAUUACCUUAAAUCAGCCAGAAAUAUAUAUAUAGUACUAUCUCUUCUUCUUCUUCUUCUUCUCAAUGCACGCCGCUUUAGAGCUAAUACGCGCGAAUAUUAUCGUUCUAAAUUAAAUAAUAAAUUCACAGGCAAAUAUACGGAAACGGAAACAAUUAAUCAUAUGGGCUGACCAAAUAUAACAAUUAAUUAGUUUCAUCUAUAAUGCUUAUAAUAUAAUGAUGAUGAUAAUGCGUAUAUAUUUUCGUUUAUUAUCUUCAAUAGAUAGAUAUUAAUAUGCUAAAUGAAAUAAAUGCAGGAGUUUGGUAUAGCAAUUUUCGAUCGACACGAUGAAGAAAAUCCGCGAGCUUGGGUGCAUGAGAAUCUCAAGCAUUUGGAAUUGACUUUUUCUUUGGAGGAUUUGGCUCGCUGGGUCUCGCCUUCUUGCUCAAGAAUUUCUCUAAACUCGAGACAUUGCAUGUUUCCUGUGCCAAGGAAUCGUGCAAGGACUCGUACUUAAUUCACGUAAGUCAAUCAAAUUAGCCUUAUCACCAUUUUUAACUUUCUUAAAAGCUUAUGGACCUUGUGUAUAAAUUAUGCUGCAUUGUACUUGGAUUUUUAAAGUUUUGAUCUUAUUACAUAAUAUUAUAAUAUGUUACAUUUGCAUAUUUUAAUUAAAUGUUGAACAUAUCUUAGAUUUCUUUUACGAUAGAUUUAAUAAUAUUUGUAGAAUAUUUUGCUGUACUUGGAACGGAACGCUCUCUUAAGCAUAUAUAUUUAGUAAAAAUAGAAAAUUAAUUCUAGCAAGAGUUAACAAACUUUCUAGAAAUAUUAUGAGAAAUCACAAAGGAUUAGCAAAUUGGAUAAUGAAUUCAAAAUUUAUGAAGUUUAAGGAUUUGUGCAUUUUGACCAUUUUAUUUUUAUUUCUCCAAUCUCAUAUAUGUAUGUAUAUAUAUAUAUAUAUAUAUAUAUAUAUAUAUUCUUUUAACUUUUUUUUUUUUUUUUUUGGGUAGGUCAUUCCCUCUGCAUGCUUUCCUAUACUUUUUUUUGAGAGGAAAGGGGGUUUUGGCACAGGGGGAUACUGGGAUUCUCAUAACUUGUCCCUCAAGCAGUUGGUUCAAGUAUCAGUGCACGAUUUUUCAGGGGGGAGAUUCGAAUAUGACUUCUUAGAGUUCUUACCUCGAGCUGCAACUUCGUUAAGAAUGAUUACGAUCUCUGCUAAUGGCGAGGAAAUAGUUUUAGAGAAGGUUGAGCAAUUGCGACAAUCUUUUCCACACAUUAAGAUUUUGCUUCAAUUGCGUGGAAGAUAAUGUUUCAUUGGUAUGUUAACAAACAAUGUUGACGAUUAGCUAGAGAUUUAUCAAUUUGAUUUUAUUUUUAGUUACCUUGAGCUAAUUUAUUGUUGACCAAGGUGCAUGUUUUGUGAAAGUUAGUUUGAGUUUUGAUUGCCUAGUAUCAUUGUGAAAGUUACCUUGAGCUAAUUCUAGUAGACAUUUUGCUUCCACAUACAUGUAUUUGAAACUUUAAAAUUUUGUUAUAAUUGUGAUUGAUAUUUUUUGUUUUCAUAGUUAAUUUUGUUAAUUAUAUAUAACGUGAUAAUAUCAUCUAUUACUAUUAAAAAUUUUGUUGAUUUAUAUUUACAAAAUAUUAAUAAUAGUACAAAUUGUUAAAAAAAUAAUAAUAAUCUUUUCUUGUGUACACUAACACUAACAUAGUGAUAUAAUGAAGGUAACAGAUAAAUUUUUUCGGUGAAUACUUCAGAAAACAAAGUUGACACAANAAAAAAAAAAAAAAAAAAAAAAAAAAAAAAAAAAAAAAAAAAAAAAAAAACCCCAGCAAUAUUAGACCUCAAUUCGCUUUAAUAAAAGCAAAAUAGCUGUUUCUUGCGCUUUUUAAGUACAUUCCGAAACUAAUACAGCUGCAAAAUGUAGUUUGCAAAGCAAGUGUUGCACAACAAUUACUAGAAGAUAUAUAUAUAUAUAUAUAUAUAUAUAUAUAUAUAUAUAUAUAAAAUAAAAACAAAAAUCACCCUAGUUAGGAUGAGAAGGUUGAAGAUCACCACCUCCGCACCAAAGACGUAAGCAACUGGAAAAAAGAAAAAAGAAAAAAAAAAAAGGAAUUAUAAGGGAUUUUCUUGAAAAAGGAAUGUUAAUUCAAAAUCACAAUAUUAUCUAUAUGAUACCAUGUAAUUCAUACUCAAAAAUGCCAACUCAAAACCAUACUAUCUUAUAUGAAAGAGUAAAUUGCGCAUUUGGGUCGUCAAAACUACGAGGCGCAUGACACGUUAGUCCUCAAACUUCAAUUUGUUAUAAUUUUGACUCGAACUUUCAGAAUUGUUGCAAUCAGGUCCCAUCACCCAAUUUAGUUGACCAAGUUUUGAUAUAUCGCAAACGUAGAAGUCAUGCAGCCGUGUUGUGACUAAUGAUCCAUUAACAAUUAAGAUGCUAUAUCAUUUUCUCCUCAGAUGCGUCAUCAACUCAUCAUUUAAUCAACUAAAUUUGGUUGUGGAACUUGAUUGCAAUAAUUCUGAAAGUUCUAACUAAAAAUUAUAACAAACUAAAGUUUGAGAAUUAACGUGUCACCGACCUCAUAGUUUGAGAACCAAACAUGCAAUUAUUACCCUAUUUGAAAGAAAAAAUUAUAAGUCCUUGAACUUCUGGCCAAGUAUUAUUUUGGUCGUUAUUUGAGUAUCCAAACUUUUAAAAGUGUUUUACUUCCGUCCUCACCUUUAUUUAUGUGAAAAAAGGUAUUGCCCACGGCUGGUGUAUCCCCUACAUUCAUGCCUUAAAAAUUGGACCAUUUGUUUCGUAAUAAGAGAUGGAUGUAAGGCCGUUGGGUUUGUGGUGCACAGAUGUAAAAUGAACCAAGCGCAAACGAUAAUCUUUUUUCUCUAAAGUUGGGAGUUAAACUAAAACAAUUUCAAUAGUUUCGGGAUCCUGAAUAUCAAACUUAGAAGUUCGAGGACUAAAAUGAAACUUGAUCGAAAGUUCGCAAUCUGGUAGCAACUUACAGCAACUACUGCUGACACUACAUUUGGUUUAACUAGUUCAACUAGCUGAAAUGUUGAAUUGUUUAUAAUUCGGUGACACCAACAAUCAAGUGAAAGUUGUAAUGUAUGAGGAGCAAGGAAAGAAGUCGCAUUAAUAAGAGGAGACUCCAAAAUUUUUUAAAACAAAGACGAAAUAACAGAUUGCAUGCAUCUUAAGAAAGUAUGGGAAAGUCUAAAUCCACCUAGUCAAGGAAGUAGUGAGAGAGAAUACAAUGUCUUAUUUCUUUCUAUCGGAAAAAGAUACAGCAUCUUAGAUGAAAAAACCUUUGGUGUUUGCAUAAUUUCUUCCUUUUUUCUCAUUCAAGGUCUAGAUGGAAGCUUUAAUUCAUAUGUUCUGGUCCACACGAAGGAAAGUUGCUAAUCAUGUAUAUAGUCAGGCAAAGUUCUGCAGCUAUGAUUAUCCUACAAAUAGAGCAGCAACUGAAACACAGGCAAGGCGAUAAAAAUUGAAAACUGCUCUAGGAAGACAGUAAUUUCUUAAAAACAAGUUUCUAACCUCAAAGAGUUCAAAUGGGCUCCCUUGCCGAUAGACAUCAUUUUGCUUGCUUUGCCUACCAGAAAGAAGGUUGGAAACAAGUGCUCGCCAUACAAGAAGCAAGACCCCGGUACUUGCCAUGGUUACCAAUAUAAAGUUAAUUGGCGGGAUAUGACCUGAUGUUACUGCCCUGAUGAUAAUUCCUAACUGCAAGAUGGAAAAGAUAAAAGGGAAUUAGAAAAGAACAAGGGUAAGAAGCAUUUUCACCAGCAAGUUAAGCAACAAUCGCAUGGGACAGGUUGUCGAGACAUUGAAAAUAUUAGAAAUUAGGGAUAUUUCUUUACUGACUAAGAAAUCACUCCACAAUGAUUUGACCUAAUGCCUAGCUUCUGGAACAGAAUCGAGAUUAUUAAACUGAAACUAUGAAAAUUCCUCGAAGAAUCAUACGAUGCCCUCGUUCAGAGAGUAAAAUAUACAAAUAAAUUUCCAACUCAAAGAAACUAAUCUACUCUCCAUCAAUUGAAUUGCAAGCAAAUGGAGUCUUACCGGUAUUCCAACUGCCCAGGACUUAGCAGCAGCAGUAAUGGCUUUCAUGGAACCAUUCAUCCCUUUCCCGUCAUCCCCAUAAGCUCCAAGAAAGUAGGCACUCAGUAUCCACCCUACAAAAACAUCAACCCAGUUAUCAUGAGGACCAUCAAGAGUAAAACCCAUUUAUAAAUUCAAAUAAAGAUUGAAAUUUUUCUAACCAGCAAUGAAAGGAUCUGCAGUCUUCAAAGUCUCAAAGUCAAGAACAGCAAACCCAUGGCUGAACCUCCCAACAGCCGAGAAAAUAAGGAGGCAGAGAACAUCCCCACCAGCCAGUAGACCCACCUGCCUGAAAACCUAAUCCCACAUUAGCAAGGAUAAAAUGCAUCACGAGCUCUCAAAAUUUCUAGUCAAGUUUCAAUUUGUUCCCCAGUGUUUCAAAUUCUUUGGGUAAAUAAAGCCCUAGGUCUCUAAACCAUUGCAUAAGAAUAGUUUGGUCACCAAACUAUAAUUUGAUAUAUUAGGGGGCUCGAACUUAAAAAUAUUCUAAUCAAGUCCUGCUACAUGCUUCCAUCGCUUAAAAGUGACGGGAAUCCAAUGUCAUAUGCCAAAUACCAAUUCAUAUGCUCAUCAAUUACUUGUGUGUGCCAAAAACUCUCCUUGAUCUGUAGAAUUAACUCUUUCAAAAGCCUUCAUAAAUCUAGAUUAUUAGUGUGGAAAUAAUGUAUUGUCAUUGCUUGAAAUAGUGAUUGAUGGACUUAGGAACAGUAGCUUGGCAUGCAAUGUCAGAUUUCCAUCUCUCUGGACGAUAUAAGUGAAAGAUGGGACUCAGAUUGGAACAUUUAAAGUUCAAGUGCUCUAAUGCAACAAAUCAAGUUUAGGGACCAAAGUGGAAUUGGAACAAUAGUUCGGGAAGACAGGAACUAAUACUAAAAUGUACCUCAAUUUUCACAAUUGGCAUCUGAACCUCUGCAUCCAAUUACAAUCUAAUGUUUAGUGUAGUGUUGACGCUAGUUACAUGACGUUGCAUAAGCAUUUCUUUCCCUUUCAACGGAUGAAUCAAGGUAAAAAAAGGGUUAGGAACCAAACUGACACUUUGCAGACUCAUUUGGAGCAUUGCAAAUAAUUAAUCAUCCGAAUAUAAUACCCUGGCAUGGUCGGUUGUUAGUGUUUUGAAGGGUUGUGCAGCUCGGUUAAAGAAUUUUUCUCCUGCUAAAGUUGCCUAGUCUAGAAGAAACCAUAAUUGUUCCACUGCUAAAAUCGCUAACUAACACUUUAAACUCAUGACAUGAUUGCAAAUGGUUUGACGAACUAUCAUUCUUGUAUCAAAAAGACACUUCUUGCCAAAUAGUUUGGGUAUUUUCGAUCAAAUUAAUGAAAUUAACAAACUAGAACUUGAAAAAUAGAUGACAUUACAAAAGAUUAGGAAUGAAUCACAUGGAACCAAAUAUAAGCGGUUAAGCUUUUGGUAUCAAACGGACACUCUGGUAAUUAAGAGGGUUGAGGAAUUUAGCAGACCCAAAUGCCAAAACUAAGAGUUUUGGGGCCAAGCUGACACUUUAUUAAUCAAAUGUGUUAAGGAUUCUCGAUCAAAUCUCUCAAAUUAACGAAAAUUAGGGCUAAAUUUUGAACGGACCCAAAGCCAAAAAUUAAAGUUCCGAGCCCAGCUAGAUACAUUGUUAAUUAAAGGUGUUGAGAAUUCUCAAUCAAAUUUCUGAAAUUAACGAAGCAGAACUUGAAAAUGAGAUAAGAUUACAAAACAUUAGCGAUGAACUGAACGGAUCCAAAUACCAAUAAUUUAAACUUUGGGAGCAAAGCGACACUUCGUUAAUCAAAAGCGCUAAGGAUGCUUAACGAUCAGAGUUCAUCAAAAUAGCAAAAACAGUAAAAAGGGGAACAAAAUCAACGAAGAUUAUGAGAAAUUACGCCGAGGAGAGGAGCUUGGACGAGACCCCGCGCGGCUUCUCGAACUGGAUCACGCCUUCCAAGGGGACCUCGUCGUCGCCGACGAAGACGGUCUCGCCGCCGCCGCCGCCACCGUGCUCCGCCGCGGAGGGGAGGGGGCGAGUCGAGGGGCCCGCGGCGUCGUCGGCGCUGGAGAGGGAGAGGCGCGGAGUGAGAGGAGGAGGGGGGCUUCGUCCUCUUCUUCCGAUUCUAGGGUUUCGGAGGGGGAAUUUGGGGGUGGGUUUGGAGAAGAGGGGAGAGGCGGAGUAGGGUUUGGGGAGGAGGGAGGAAGGUGCAGGGGAAGGGCACCGCCGCGCCGAGAGAGCGCCGUUCGGAGCUUGGCUCAGCACCAACAUCGUCGCCGUAGGAUUGGGGUGUGUGUGGUUCGUGCUCUACGUGGGUGAGAAGCCUCAUUUUAUUCAUUUAUUUAUUUAUUUAUUUAUUUAGUUAUUUAUGGCCUUAUUUUUGUAUUAAAAUUUUUGGAUUAAUUUCAUACAUGAUCCUGCAAAUAUAGUAAAUUAUAAAUAUAUCUCCAUAUAGUUUAACUUUUAUAUGUUGUCUUUACAAAAAUUUUAAUAUUUUUAAAUAUAUUCCUUUGAUUUAUUACCGUUAAAGUACCAUCUAUUUUAUAAGCACAAAUAUCUUCCUUCAAAAGUUUAAUUAAAGAUGAAUAAAAAAAUCAAAUCUUAUUCGGGAUGCACCCCUAGCUUACCAGCAAUAGCUAGUUAGGUUUCUUGAAAAAUAAGGAAAUUCAGAAAAUAAUUUUUGGACCUAAAAAUGAUAUUCUUCAGUUCGAUUUUCAGAAAAAAAAAAAAGAAUUAUGAAGAAUUUUUUUUUGUUUUUCAAUUUUUGUGUGUGAAAAAAUAAACACUUUGAAAAAAGUGUUUUUCACAAAAAAAAAAAAAAAAAAAAAAAAGAUUUUCACGAUUUUUCGAGAAACCAAACAAAGGGAAAUUUUUUUUAUAAAAGGACUAUUUCAAAAAAUUAGAAUUAAUGAAUUAUUUAUCAAAUUUGAGAAAAUAACUGUUACAAAUUCAGCAAUAAAAUCUUGUAAAAACAAACUGGCAGUUAAAAUUAGUUAGAACAAUUGCUGUAAGAUCAUAUAAGUUAAAUAAAAUUAUUCAAUUACCUUUGACACUAUUAGCAAGAGUGAGGCUACUAAGUUAUCGGAAGUACGGAGCCUUCCGUGCUUCCAGCUCGUUUUCNUUAUAUUAUGUUUUUAAAGCUAAAAAAUGAAACAUAAAAAAAAUAAAAUAAAUAAAAUAGUGAACACGACGAGACCCUUCCCAAAUUGGGAAGCGGCGUAAGUCAAAAUUUAUGCGGUCAUUGGAAUCGGCAACGCUGACGAAAAUUACGGCUGCAUCAAAUUUCGCGCUCAACUCCUCUCCGGAAAAAAAAAAAUGUUCUAUGCGGACGUACCUUCAUAAGCCAAUAUGCGGGGGGAAUUAAAAAUUUCGGUUUUAAAUAUCUUAUUAUAUUUCUAAUCUGUUUUUAUUAAAUAAAUCUUUUAAGUAACACAAAAUUAGAGCCCGCUCUAAGCUCUCUCUCAAUUGAAAGAGAUCGUAUAAGUUCAUUUUCUAUAAUCAUUCACUUAUCCACAUAAUAUUAUUACAUAAGAAAAAAGUUAUUAAAAAUUUAUAUUUAGAUUCUAAGCUUAAUUUCUUGUUAAAUUUUAGAUUUUGCUGAUGCGUUUGGUGAGUAAAUUACGAUGCAUUCAUGUACAUAAUUUGGAGGGGUUUAGAUCCAUUCUCUGAAAUAAGUACGAAAUCAAACAAAAUAUAUAUAAACUGGUUUAAUUCGUCGGAUUUUAAAGAUUGGUUUGACAAAGAUAUCUAAUUACUCAUCGUAGUCGCAUUUAUAAAGAACUUUAUAUAACUCUUUUUUGGAAAAUAUAUAUAUUACUUACACAGCUACAUUUGAUGCUAUAUAUAUAUAUAUAUAUAUAUAUAUAUAGAGAGAGAGAGAGAGAGAGAGAGAGAGAGAGUGUGUGUGAGACUAUUAUGCUAUCGGAAGCACGGAGCAUUCCGUGCUUCUAGCUUGUUUUCGAUGUUGCGACUUUCGAAUAGUCGAUCGGCUCCAUUAAACUUGAUCUAGAGUAUUUGGAGUACCUAGAAAAUAAAUUUUAUAAUUUUACGAUAUCAUUUGCCUAGUGAACGAAGGGCUCAAAAUCAACGGCUGAAAAUAAAAAUCUUACAAAAUGUAAUAAUAUGACAUUAAAAUUUUAAAUCAAAGAUAUUGAUCUUGUUUUAUAUAGUAUAAAAAAUUUUCUAUCAAAAUUUCACGUGAUUUGAAUAUUUUUACACCGUUAAACUUGCAAACGGCUCACUACGGCCAUUGAAAUUUGUUGAUUUUGAGCCCAUUCGAUCACUAGGCAAAUGAUAUCGAAAAAUAAUAAAAUUUAUUUUCUAGGUACUCCAAAUAUUCUAGAUCAAGUUUAACGGAGCCGAUCGACGAUUCGAAAGUCGCAACAUCGAAAACGAGCUGGAAGCACGGAAGGCUCCGUGCUUCCGAUAGCAUAGUAACCUCACUCCUAUUAGCAAAAUAAGAAAUCUUUUUUAUUUAAUUUUUUUUACCCAUUUUCUUAGUUGCAAAUAAGAUAGAUGUUGAGAUGCGAAAUAAUAACUAACUCGUUUUAGUGAAGUUUUAUAUGCAAAUUUACCAGCAGCAUUAACAGAUCAUCCAUAAUUUAGACCUCGUGAACACAUCCAAUGGUAUACAAUCAACAUAGGUACAAAACAAAUCUCCAUAGAUGAUUAAUAUCAAAUGGGCCAAUGAAUAAUUAUUCCUAUCAAAUUAUGAUCAAAUCAAUAUGCACAAGUACUCUUCAUAGACAAUAAUUAUCAGAUCAUUGGCCAGUGAAUAAUUUUACGUGUGCAAUGCAAAAACACAAAAUUACUGGUAUUACAUAUACUUACCAUAUUACUGGUACAAACUCUGAGCUCUCAAAUAAUGAAUAACAAAUAAACUAUAUCUAUAUUUUAAUCAAUUUUUCCUGCAACAGGAACUUUGCAGCAUAUGUCCAGGAUUUCGUCUAAAGGAGCAUGAUCGCCUGUGCCUUCGUCUUUCCUCGCGUAUAACAAUUCCUUUCCCUUAAAUACAAACAUACCGCCCUGCAAAACAGGAGAAAGAAACCGAUUUUUGAGUAAUUUUUGUCUAUCAUAGCUUCUGAAAUGGCUUCUCUAUUCCAAACAACAGCAACCAGGCUUUAUCUUUGCUGUAGUUUUUGUUUUUGUAAAUGCAAAUUUUUAUGAUCGGAUGCACCAGUAGUUGGGCUUACCUAUUCUGGUCAUCAUUUGAUGCACCCUGAUGUGAAUUGGCAUCUUCUUGAAGAAAAAACAAAGAAGCGAAAAAAAAAGUUUCUACUGAGAUAUUUGGUUUUGGCGUCGAAGUAGACCCGAGCUGCUAAUGGAAUGAAGUGUUUCAUCAUCCACCAAGAUAACCAGUGGCAUCGAAUUUAUAUUUAGAAAAACAAAAGAAAAAAGGCAAUGAAACCAAACGAGACCUAAAACUCUUGCGGUCGCAAGAAGCAAAAAUGAGCUUUUACACUCCGAAAGAAGAAUCAGCUUAGGGUACAGCAGUAAGCUGUUUCAGACUCUUUAACUAAAAAGCAAUUGAUGCUUCUUUUAACAGAACUACUCAAAAAACACUUCUAUACAAGCUCUGGACGGAUAGAACGGGCGCAAAGGACCAAACGUUGAAUUAAAUCGUGACUAGAGAUGAUACUGGUAUAAGCUAUUCAACAAUAAAUAACCUGCUGCAGGACGCUGGCCCUGUCAUCAGGAGUGGCUUCAAUUGUGUAGUUCUUCACUGCGUUCUUAAGAGACUCGAAUCUCGAAAAUACCUUAGCCUGUUGAAUGGCAAUCCAAAAGCAUAUCAGAAUGAUUAAUACAUGAGAAAAAUCAAAAUAUAUUAUACUUAAAUAUUUUUCUAGCAAACUCGGCAACAAUUUGGCAGAGUACAUUUGAAUGAAAAAUCUGAUGCUUACACUGGCCGGAUUGAAGAAUGUACGGGCCAAACCAUAGUAUAGACCUAAGACAUCAUAUGCCUGAAAGUGUUGGACAAUGCAAAGUUACACUCCACAGUAGUACAGGCAGAAAAAUAAAUUUCAACUUACGAAAACUAAAUCAAUGGGCUCUUGAUAUUGGUUUUCUGCUGAGAUUGUGUUUUCAUUAGGCCUAUAUACUUCAGAUAAUUCUUUUUAUUUUUUGAUUUUCAACAAAAAUUAAAAUUAAAAUUAAAAUAAAUAGUAAAGGCCCUGCUGAUACAUCAAAAUAAUUACUGUGAGGUAAUUAUUAUCAGAAACAAAUGCAAUGUUCACAAUACUGAGUAAAAUAGCCGAAACCAAAAGAUCAGCCGGCGAGGAAACAGUCCAGAAGUCUUUUAAGUCUCACCACUUUGCUCGUGUACGAUGGGGAAUGACAAGCAAGUGGAAUUAACAAGUGGGGCAUUGAAUAGGUAUUUAACAAGAUUUAACACAUCAAAUUUUUGAACAAUAAUUUAACUUGUUUUAUAUACAUGGUAGAGAUUGGUUUCACAAAUCAAGGAACCGAGGGGAUUAAAAGUUUAAAUUGGAUCUUAAAUCACAUUAUUCCACAAGAUUAAUCUGUGACAAAAAGGUCCAGGAACUCCUUAAUGUAACCAACUUAAAUAUAUGUAUUGAUAAAAAAAAUUAGUAAAAGGAGGUUAGGCAGUUUCACAAUCUUUAAACUCACUUUUCCAUUCAGUCACGUUCAACAGAUGUAUCUUCUAUUUCCGAAAUACUAACAUUCUUAGAAAUGAAAGGAAGUGUUAGUUUGAACACUUUUUGUAAAUUAUGAAUUUUGACUUCACAUCUAAAAUAGGAAUGGUUGUUCACUAUACGAAGAAGAAAACAAGCGAAUCGGGUGGUACGACACUCAAUCCCUCAUCAAGUAACCAGUUUUCUUAAGAACCACAAAAAUGGCUUAUGUGUAUUAAGAUGAUGUUUAUAUAACAUGGGCAUGUCCAUGCUUCAUACUUAACAAGAAGUUGAGAACAAGAAUUAUCACCUUGCGGUCUGGAUCUGCAUAAAGGCAAUCCGAUGGAAAAGGAAGCUGCAUGAUACAGAAAAAAAAAAAAAAAAAAAAAAAGUGUAUUAGAAAACCAGAGAUCAUUUGCAACCCAAUGUCCACAUACUACAAAGAUCUUCAAAUGAAAAACAAAAAUGAUCCUCUACUAACCAUAAAGCACAGAAGAAAAUUUGGAACUUAAAAUAUAUAGUAUUUUCUAUUGAAUUUUACUGACCUUAAGAAUGAUAUGAUGCUAGAAACUACUCUGCAGUGCUUUAAAUCUCACACCAACAACAUUUAGUUUUCUACAAGUAUAUCUAACAUAAGAAGCUAUAUCUGAAGCACAAUCCUUUUCCGGCUACAUGAUCAAAAGAGAGAUUGUUUAGUCAGGCUACAUAGAAUGUAGAAAUGUUGCAAAAAAAAUUUCAAUGCAUAAUUAUCAUGUAGUUUUCAAAGCCCAGAGAAAAUGGCCUUUUAUAAUGAUAGAGCUAAACAAAUUUGGACAUGCAAUGGUACCUUCAUGUGAACCAUCACAUUGUAUUUGUGGUGAAGGGAAUCACUAAUCUGACAAAUGAACUCAAACAACAAAUAUUUGCACUGAAACUUCACACCAACUGCCCACUUGUACACUAAUGACUAGAAGGGCAAUUACCCGUUCAGCUAGAAUGCGAGCUUUAUCAGGAGUACCAACACCAAUUGCAAUUAGUUUGACUCCGGCCGAGUCAAAUCUUGACUUUGAAUCUCUCAGAACAGAAGCAAGCUCCCAACUUCAAGUCAUUACAACAGAUGCAAAAUUCGAUUUGAGUUGGUUUUGAAUAUUUUCAUCAGUUAUGCACUUCAAAUUAUUUAAUUUGCUUACAACAAGGGACAAAACAUACCAGCAAGGACAUCCAAAAUGCCUUAAAAGUGCCACUACGGCCAUUCCCUGCACAAACAAACAAAAUACAGGUGUGAGUAUUAUUAUUAUUAUUAUUAUUAUUAUUAUUAUUAUUAUUAUUAUUACUGCAGAUGGAAGAAAGGCAUCUGCACGAAAAUGGCAAGAAGCUACAAAAGAUUCUUCUUUUAACAAUUAAUUUUACAUUAUACACUACGUAAGCAAAUAGAAUCCAAGUGUGAGUGUCAUGAUUUCGGGGUAUUCAUUUCAGACAGUAAGCAUUAACUGGAAACAGUUUGUUCCUUAGUUAGGGAGUUAAUCGCCGACUACAUUAAUUUGGGGCUUUGUGGUUAAUUGAAACAAUUGUUAAGAUUAUGCAGUUUUGUUAAAUUAUGUGGAACAAUCGUCAUUCUCCAAUCGCUUAAGCUAUCAAAGAAUGGUAUUUUAUAUUUUAUCUUCAACACUCCUUAUGUCUGGACUCGAGAUUUUUUUGCUAUGGUCAAGACGUGGACUUGAAUUAAAUGGGAGAAAAUGAAAUGGUACUAGAGCGCUGGUAGGAUUUAUCCUGCUCUGAUACCAUGUUAAAUUAAUGAAAAAUAAUUGUUUAUCCCCAAAAGCUUAAAGCUAUCAUUGAACUAGAACUGUGCUUUUAUAUUUUAUCUUCGACAAUUUCACUCUAAAUUCUUAAUUUUGAGCCGCGAUAUAUAAUAGGUACAUGCUUUUAUGCAUGGACUUAAGUCCAGAGAUCGAGUACUUGAGCACUGCAGAGGUAAGGAAACAACCCUAACUCAGCUAAUGAUACAUCCAGUAGAGGAAUUACCAACAUAAAUUGGAAGAUCCAAGGAGAGAAAUUGGAGAAAGAAAGGGGAUUCGACCUCGUUCUGAUCCCACAGGUCUCUAAUAAAGACGGGCUCCCCAGUGGAUGCGGGGAAGAUGGCGACGUCGCCGAGAUCGUCCACGGCCGCCGAAUCAAAGCCCGAUGAGGAAGCAGCGGAUCCCGCCGCCGCCGACGCCGCCGGAGCUGGGUGGAUUGCCGGAGGGGAGCGGCGGCGGCGGAGGCUUCGCACGGGAGAGACAAGGGUGGGGAAGGGUUUCGGUGGGGGAGAGAGGAGGGGAGAUCGAUAGGGGCGGAGGAGGGAGAGAGAGUGGAGAGAGUGGGUCGCCAUUGUCGAUUUCGCGUGAGGGGAAACCCUAGCCCUAACCCUAUGUAACAGCCUGGAGAAUAAAGGAGUAGAGUAGUUAAAAGGGAAAGUAGUAAAAAUGGUAAAGAAGAGGAAUAAAUGGUAGCAGCAAGGUGGAGAGCGAGCUCGGCGGAGCGAUCCGGCGAGGAGUUGUGUCGGUGGAACUCCGGAGCGGAUCCAAAAGGCGGACCCAAUAUCCGCCGGGCUGUGGAUAGUGCGAAGAAGAGAGGACCGAAACCCACUUACCCGGUUACCACUCAACNAAAUGGGAGGAUCGAUGUUGGAGGAGAAAAUCCGACAGAUUUUGGCAAUUGGGGAAGAUGGAAGCCGGCGGGUCGAAUUGGCAGAUCUUCGGAGCGGAUCCAAAAGGCGGACCCAAUAUCCGCCGGGCUGUGGAUAGUGCGAAGAAGAGAGGACCGAAACCCACUUACCCGGUUACCACUCAACUGAUGGAUCGGGCGGUCGGAUUACUGGAUCGGGUGUAAAACGCGGACUCGCUAUCCGCUCGUCUGAGGAUCAUGCGGAGAAGGAAGCCCGAUAUCCAAUCACCCGAUUACAUGAUGCUCCUGGACCGGUCAAGCCAACGGGGGCCCAAUUACCGCAGAAUUAGCAGCCCAUCAGGCCCAUAUCUCAUAUUAGCACUUUUGCUGUUUAGCCCUCAGAUAGUAGUUAAUUUUCCUUUCAGUUCAAGUCACCAAGUAGUAUAAAUAUCAAAGUGUAAUGUAAACAGGGAUCUAUCGAUGAAAUGCAUUAGCUUGUCUUCUUCCCCAAUUAUCCUCUUUUUCUCAUUCCCCAAAACCCUAUUCUUAUUCUUCUAAAACCCUAUUCUCUUCCUCCCAAUCUCUCUCCCUAUCUCUCUCUGUUUCUCUACCUCUCCUUCUCUUUCACAAACUCACCUCCAAAUCACCCCAAAUCAUCCGGUACAUAACACCCUAACCCUAGAAACGCUCGUCGUCUCUUUUUUUCCGUAUUAGGGAAGAGAGUGACCGUCGUAGCCGGGAAGAAGGCCAUUCCGUGAGGCGGGAAACGCAGCGGUGAGACUGUGAUGAGAGUCUUCCACGCGUCUUCGCUCUGUUUCACCAAAAAGUUUCUUCUUCUUUUUUCUUUUUUUUUUUUGCAUUGAAGCAGCUAAAAAAAUUAAUUUCAUAUAGGUCCCUAUAAAUACAGUAAAUUGCAAAAAUUUUCUAUAAAGUUCAACUUUCAUAUAUUGUUUCUGUAAAAAUUUUAAUAUUUUCAAAUAUGUCCUUCUGAUUUGUUACAGUUAAAGCACUGCUUAUUUUAUAAGUGAAAUGACAUUUUUUUCAUCAUAGUUAUAUCCCUCCAAAAAUUUCAACUGUUAAUUAAAGAGAGGUAAAAAAGUCAAUUCAUCUCAUUAAUUAACUAGGAUUAAGUAUUUAAUCUAUAGUUAACUAAAUUAUUCUAGCAUAUUCUAACGACAAGGACAUAUUUGAAAAUAUCAGGACUUUGUAGGAGAAACAUAUAAAGUUGAACUUUGUAAGGACAUACUUGCAAUUCAUUAUAUUUGCAACAACCUGUAUACAAUUAAUCCAAAAAAAUUAUAAAUAACUAUAGCAAAUUUAUAUUUAUAUAAAUAGUCAUCUCCUUGCCACGCGCUUAGGUGAUAUUUUUAAGUUGAACACAUUGAUUCAAUCACUGUAUUCUUUUUUGUACGAUGAUUGAAUUACUGUGUUUCCUUUUGUAUUUUUUUCGCCCUGUAGAUAUGAACAUGGUGAUUCAAUUAUCGUUUUCAACUCAAAAAUGCAAAUAUGGCACUCUCGUGGCAACGAAAGGGUCAUAUAUGCACAUAUAAAUUUAUUAGGCUCAUUUGUAAAAAGAAAUUGAACUUGGUUAAAUGCAAAAGAAGCCCAUUAGUUUACAGUUGCUACUAUUUAUUUUUAUUAUUUGAUUUAUUUUAACUUUCAUCAAAAUUUAAACUCUUUAAAAUAGUGAGGUUGAAGCCAAUUACAAAUUGAAAAGGCUUUUGUUUAGGAUAUAUCCUAUUCAAAAUUUUUAAAUUUAUUCUGUAAUUAUCAAAAUAUCUUCUAAAUUUUUCUUGGAGUUCGAAGACAUUUAAGAAAUUUUUGAAAAGCAAUAAAGAUAUUUGGUCAAUCAGAAAUAUAUUAAAUAUUUUUGAAGUUUUGAAGGAUAUAUUGUGUAUUAUUCGAAAAAAAUAAUGAGAAAAAAUAAUAAAAUGUUAACACAUCUCUCACCCCUCUAGUUUUUACCUUUUACUACCAAACAAAUAAUAAAAUUGAAAAAACUUUAGUUUCACAACUGUGCAAAUAAAUAGCAGAAGAAAGUGAAGAUUUUCUUUGGCUUCUAAUAUUGAGAUUUACACUACAAAAUAUCAAGAGUAAUAUACAAAUAGUUGACAUUAUUCAGAAACAAUUACCCAAACUACUAGCCUCCGAAAAGUUUGUGAAUUUCUACUCUUAAAUUCUAAAGAUUUUUUCAAAUAUAGUAAAUUGUAUUCUGAAUAUAAUAAUUUUUCAUCAUUUAGCGAUAGAACUUCAGCAAAUAUUCUUAUGGAUUAGAAUUGUUAUAUUUAUGCUCUCCCACCUAUUUUUAAUUUGCAACUAUUUUUAACCAUAACAAACCAAAAUGCACUCAUUAAUUAAUUAUUAUGCAAAGUUUUCUUUAGCAAUAUGCCAUUAUGCUAUUAUCAAAAUAAUGCUCAUGACUUUUAGUUGUAAUCUAUUUUUGCUCCUCCAAACAUUAAUAGCUUGAUAGACAGGAUAUUAGGCAAAAUAAAAUUCUUAAAAUGACUUCAAAAUAAAAUUAUUAAAAAUCUAAAAUAAAAUAAAUAAAUAAUCAACCAUAAUAAUAUUUGAUUUUAUUUCAUUAUUUUGAGAGAAAGAUAGUAUGCUACACGUUUCGUUUAUUUCAUUUAGAAUAAACUUAGCUGGAAAUGUGAAUCAAUUAGAAUUCGAACUUGGGUCUUGGGUACCAACCACUAAGCCCUUUGCCACUUGCUCUAGGGACGGUUGGUCAUUAUUAUUAUUAUUAUUAUUAUUAUUAUUACUAUCAAAUCUCAUGUUUACCUUACUUUCUAUCUACUACUCUUUUUUCUCUCCAAGUCAUGCAUGAACACAAAAAUAACAUGAACAUAACUUUUAGCCCCACAAGCUCCAAACCUGUUUUACAUAAUUGCAGCUCACAAAUAUGUGAGUCACACUUUCUUUCAAUGCAAUAAAUUAAAUAAGCCUUUAUUAUCAUUUUUCAAUUCUAAUUAUAUAUUAUCAACCAAAAAUACUAGAUUUUAAGUUAAAAAAGAGUUUUACAUCGCAUUUUAGCGCCUACUUUUAGCAUUCACUAUUUACCUUUACAAUAUUUUCUUCUUUCUCAUUCCUACUCUCUUACAACUCUCUAUCUUUUGCUUCUUUGGAUGCCUUGAGAAAAAAAUCAAGUGUUAAAGGCAAAUUUAUAGAUUGGACAUGAUUAUCAUGGCAUGAUUUUUUGUAGUAACUUAGCUAAAACCAAAGUGUUAGGAUUGCAACUCUCCACUUUUAUACAAAAUUAUACAUAAAUCAAAGGAGAAUAGUGAAAAAAAAUUCCUUUUUGAGAAUUUUUUUUAUUUUUAAAUUUUUAAUUUUAUAUGCAUAAAAAUAUACUAAUAUAUAUUAAUUAUAUUUAAAAUAUGGGUGAAAAUAUAUGCAAAACACUCAACUAAAGGCUAUAUUCUAAACUACACUGUUUUUAUUAACACUUGAUGUACUAAUUUUUUUUCUUUUUUUGAAUUUGUUAUCCUUACAUAAAAUCCAAAUAAUAAUUAGAAAGUAAUUAGGGAAGAGAGAGAGAGAGAUAGUUCAGUUUGAAUAUUAUUAAUAAGGGGCAAUUUCUUAUAUACCCCUGCAAAGUUUCCGACUUUCCGAUUUACCCCUCUUAGAAGGCUAAUAUUAAAAAUAUUCUUUCUACGUUCCAACAUAUUUCUAAUAUACCCCUAAAGUUAAAAUCUGUUAAUUAACUCUGUUAUCUCUGUAAAAUUACUAUUUUGUCCUUUUAAAUAUACCUUGACUUUCUUAUUUGUCUUUAAAGUCAGGGGUAGAAAAAGUAUUUUGACUUUUGGUCUUUUUCAAUAUACCCCUCUGCCGUCACCAAUAUUUCUAAUUUGUCCUUAAGCUAAGGGCAAAAUUGAUAUUUUAAUUUUUUUUAACUGCGUAGAUAUUUAACUCACGUUUAACUCAAGUUAACUUAACAGGAGAUAACUGCGGGAGUAUUUUGCAAUAACGGUGGAACAUAUGAGGGGUAUUUUAGAAAGAAAAAAAAAAAAGGAAUAAAUCGGAUAUUUUCAAACGUAUGAGGGGUAUAUAAGCAAUUAUUCCUAUUAAAAUAAUAUAUAGAUAGUGCGUAUAUACUACAUAUUUUUUAUUCUUUGGAUCCAUACUAGUAUAACAACAAAAUAGUAAAUUCUAAGCAUUCAACUACUAAAAAAUUUAUAGAAUGCACUAUUUACAGGGAAUUAAUAGCGCGUCGGUUUAAUAGCCUUUCUCUCUAUAUGUAUGGCCUAGCUAAGAUACUUUUGAUAACACUGAAUAGUAUAUACUACCAACUUUUAAUCCUCGAAUAUCUAGAGUUAAUUAUUUGUUGGUGAUACUGGUAUAGAUCUAAUGGCUAAAAUAUGUACAACUUAUACUAUUUAUGUGCUAUUAGUAGUAAUUUAAGUAGAUUAUAUAUAAAGAGAGAGAGAAUAUAGUUUGGAUGAUUUAAAAGCACUAACGCUUUAGUGCUACUAAUAUUUUGGCCCUUAAAUUAUGCAUAAUAGAGUGCCCCGCCAUAAGCCACGUUAGUUCUAUAGCCAAAAGAGUUGAUUAAAGGGCACAAAACUUUGAAGCACGCUUCUACAAACAUUCCGACUCAAUUCCAUAUAUAUAUAUAUAAUUGUCUGCCACCACGAAUGACGCACUUCGCACGGCUGAUGGAUUUCAGGCCGUGGGGUAGUAUUCAUGAUGUAGAUUAAAAUAUAUGUAUGUAUAGUUAUCAGGUAUUGCGGAUCCAUGGCUUCCAAUAAACGCAAGCGUCUAUUGUUAAUUACCCCUACAGAAUAUUAGGGCACCUUCGAUUAAGAAACCUCUGAAAUGCUGAAGAUAAACUAGAAUUGGACAAAAGGGAAUUCAUAAUUUAUUGCUCAAUUACAUGGCUUUAACCAAGGGCAUACCCUCAGUGUACAUGAAUAGAGCGUAAAGAAAAUGUAUUUUUCAAUUGUAUCUUAGUUAUAUAUUCUAAGAUACCCAAUAUAUGGUCAAAUUAAUUUUGUUGGACUCUAUAUGUUGUGGAGCUCAACACUAUUCACCCUAAGAUGAAGGAUUGAUUAAAUUCCAUAUAUAUACAUUGGAAUUUAAUCAGAUUUAAUUCAGAUUAAACUCUAAUUAUAUGUAUUAGAGUUUGAUUUGGUUAAUUGAACUUUAAAUGUAUGGUUGUAAAGUCCAAUAGAUGAUCAGAUUUCGUUGAGCUCUAUAUAUUUUGGAGCUCAACUUUGUCUACCAUGAGAUGAAAGUUGAUUAAAUCCCAUAUAUAUGCAUUGGAAUUUAAUCGAAUUUGAUUAAACUCUGAACUUUAAAUAUAUGUAAAUAAAGUCCAAUAAGUUUGAUUUGAGCUUUUAUCCUAAAUAUAUGUGUUAGGAUUAGCCCCAAAUAUCUUGAAUUAGACUCUAAUUUUUAUAUUUUAGAGUCUGAUACAAUUAGGCUCUAAGUUUAUGUAUUAGGAGUUAGUCACAUUAUAAUUUUGGUUCAUCUUCAAGGUGAAAAUAUUAACUAAAUCUAAUUAUAUGUAUUAGGAUUAGUCAGAUUUGAUUUAAAUUAAACUCCAAGUAUAUGUAUUGGAAUCCAAUAAAUUAAUUUGAUCAGAUGGUUUGAUCAAUUCUAAAAAUAUAGGUUUAGAAUUGAUCAAGUUUGAACAUGAUUGUGAUUUGACUCUAGUUUUAUUAUGCUAGAGAAUCGAAUAUUUUGGGAAAUGGGAUGUCGUGAAAUUGAACUUGAGUUUAGUUUAACGACAUUUCGGUCGAUAUCGGAUUAGGUUUAGUUUAACGACGUUUCGGUCGUUUGUUUGGUGGAUUAGUUUAACGACGUUUCGGUCGAUAUCAAAUUUAGGUUUGGUUUGGUUCACAAGGUUUAUGGUAUUGGGGUAUAUGGAUUAUGGUUCAUGAACUUAGAUAUGCGUUCAUGGGUUUAUGGUUCAUGGACUUAUGGUUCAUGGACUUAUGGCUCAUGGGUUUAUGGUUCAUGGACUUAUGAACUUGAUUGAUUCAUGAACUUGAUCAUAGUUUGUGGAUUUGGUGUAUGGUAUGGUCCACAGGAUUUGGUGUAUGGUUUGGUCCAUGGUUUUGGUUCAAAGUUCACGGACUUGGUUAAAGGUUAUGGGCUUGGAUAUGGGUUAAAUGUGUAUGGGUUCAUGGGUUAAUGUAUAUAGUUUAUGUAUAUGAGUUAUGGGUUAAUGGUUUUAAUGAGUUUUGGAUAAUGGGCUUAGAUAGUGGCCCAAAAUGGGUUUUGGACUGGGGCAUUUGUAAAUGGGCUCUGGACUUCAUGAGGAUUUGGACUUGAAUGUAAUAUGGCUCAUUUUAUGGGCUCAAUUUAGAUUUGGAUCAUGGGCUCAUUUUGGCUUUAAUUUGGAUUUGAUAUGGGGAUUUGAUUUGGGCUCAAAAUGGGUUCAAUUCAUAUGUGGAUUUUGGGCUCAAAAUGGGCUCAACUCAUAUAUGGAUUUUGGGCUCAAAAUGGGCUCAACUCAUGGAUUUGGGCUCACUUUGGGCUUAUGAGAAUAUGAAAAUAUGGGAUUUGGGUUGAUUGAAGAUGGGAUUUGGGUUGAUUUGAUAUGAAAUUUGGGAUUUGGAUUGGAUACUGUUUUGAGUUUUGGAUUGAAUGGUAUUUGGGCAUAUUUUGGGUUUGAGGUUGUACUUGGCUUGGGCCUUGGACUGGAAUUGGGCAAUGGGAUUGGCUUUGGCCGUGGUUUGAAUUGGGCUCAAAUCUGGAUUGGGCUUUGGCCGUGGAUUUGAUUUGGGCUCAAUCUGGAUUCGGUUUGGGCUCUGGAUUUGAAUUGGGGCUCAAUCUGGAUUGGCUUUGGGCUCUGGAUUGAAUUGGGCUCGGUCUGGAUUGGGCUCGGAUUUAUUUUGAUGUGGAUUUGGGUUCAAUAUGGGCCGUAUGAAAGUGCCAAAUUCAGAUUCAUAUAUGGGUCCAAAUUGGAUGGAAUUACAUAUGGGCUCGGGCUUAAUAAUGGGCCUGUAUGGUUUGGACUCAUCACUUUCUUUAAUUAAAUCAUGGGAUUCGGUCCAGAUUCGUAUUUUAUGUUGGACUUGGGUUAUGUUUAACUUGGGUUUGAAGUGAAUCUGUGAAAUGAAUAUGGGUUGGUCCAUAUGAGAUUCGAUAUCAAAAUAUCUGGUUCAAAAUCAAAUUCAUCCGAAAUAAAUAUUGAUUCGAUUUAAUUCGACCAAAUCGAAAGGUUCGAUUAAAGGUUCGAUUAUUUUCGAACACUAUUAAAAGAACAAUAAAAAGGUAUUAAUCGGAAAUCCGACUAACUUUCUUUCAUUUCUUCAUUGAAGGAAAUUAAGAGAAUAUUUUUCUCUUUAUCUCUUUUAUAAUACAACAGAGAUGAAUAAAAAUUUUAUCUCUUUUACAGUCGUGGCUAAGGCGGGAUAAAAAUCCCUCCUUGCCUCCUAACAUUAACAAAGCUCUCUCUCUCUUUCAUAAGUAGAGAAAAUAAUAUCUCUCUCUUUUUCUCUUUUUUUUUUUGUAAAGAGGAGAGCACCGCUCUCUCUUCUCUCAGAUUCGCUGUCGAAUACUUGGCGGGGCGCUUCGUUUGAGAGGAGAGCACCGCUCUCACUCUCAGGUUCGUUGUCGAGCGGUUGGUGGGCGGACUCCGGGAACGUCGAGCACUUGGCGGGCGGAAUUCGUUUGAGAGGAGAGCACCGCUUCACUCUCAGGUUCGUUGUCGAGCGGUUGUGGGCGGACUCCGGAAACGUCGAGCACUUGGCGGCGGGAAUCCGUUUGAGAGGAGAGCACCGUCUCUCUCUCAGGAUCCGCGUCGAGCAGUUGGUGGGCGGACUCCGAGUACGUCGAGCACUUGACGGACGGUGGAAUCCGUUUGAGAGGAGAGCACCGCUCUCUCUCUCAGGUUCGCCGUCGAGCGGUUUGGGGCGUUCUCCGGUUUUAUUGGCCAUUUCAUCGAACGGAUGGAUGGCGUUCGACAGAGCUCGGUGGAAUUCGAAGGAGCUCGGGUCGGGACGUCCCAUAGCGACGUAGGCGGCGUGGAUUGGCGAGGAGUGACGCCUCGGGUUAGAGCAUGGUUGGAGCAUGUCCAGGAGCAACGCUCGGAUUGGUGUUUCGAGCAUGUCCGGGCGGAGGCGCCUCGAGUCGAGAUGUCUCGGAGCAGGUCCGGGAGGUAUGAUUGGAGCACGUCCGGGAAUAGCGCCUCGGGUUGAUGUCUCGAGCAUGUCCGGGACCACAGCGGCUUCAGCGCAUCGAGUCCAGCGACCUGGAGCACCUGGGCGGGUGGUGAAUUAAUGCCGAAGCAAAGGAGGCGCGGCCGAGCCCGGCGAGGGCUACAGCGGCGCAGCAUCGUCGGCGUCGAGGAGGUGGAACGCGCCUGCAAGCGCGAUCGUCAUGGGGCGGUUGACCACGGCGGAGGUUCUACACGGUUUGGCGGUCCUGCGCGGGUGGCGCGGCUUCAGGCAGAUCGCCGCGGGUGCGCGGCUUCGGGUGACGGUGACUUCGACGGAGCUUCAACACGUUUCGGGUCCUGCGCGGUGGGCGGCUUCAGGCAGAUCGGCCGCGGGUGGGCGCGCUUCGAGUCGAGGACGGCGUCGACGGCGAUCGGGCAGGAGGGAGGAGUACUGGGACUCGACCUUGGAGCUGAGCGCGGUGGCGACGGAUUUGACGAGGGAGCCGCGGUCGAGAAGUCUAGGGGAUGGACAUGACUUGGAGGGCGUCGACGCGGCGCGGAGGAGGAGUACUGGGACAUGGCGAAGAACUCAGGAGCUUGGCGGAGCUCGGCUGACUCCAUGCGGAGCUCGCGCGGGUCGCGUGGAAGCGGCGGGAGCGCGUCGCGGCUCGAUCGGCAGAGGAGGCAGGAGAGCGCCUCGCGCGGAGAGAGGCAUCGUCGAGGACGGGGACGCGGGAGGUCGAGGAGGCACUCAGCGGGAGUUGAGGCAGAGACGCGGCAAAGAGAGAGAGAGAGAGAGAGAGAGAAGAAAGAGAUCUGAGAUCUCAUUUUUAUUCCUUUUUCCUCUUUCUUUUUUUUUUUUAGCGAGAGAGAGAGAGCACUUUUCUCUCU
rnacentral:lncRNA from 1 species